rnacentral:lncRNA from 1 species
GUAAAGCAUUUCAAGUAAAUCAAAGUAUCAUUGAGCUCAUUAAGUCUAGGUUUGCAACUGUGUCGACUGUGUCGACCGUGCUUAAGUCAUCUUACUAACAUCCUAUUCCAGGGUGUUGUUCAUUAUAGUUGGCAUAUUAAAUAAUAAAAUCUUCUAUAUUAUCGUUUAAUUGUAUUUUGGUCAAGUUAAUUUUUAGUAGUUUUAUUGGCGUCAAAUUAGGAUAGUUUUACUAUUUAGAAACUAGUAUUGUAUUAAAUAAUUUCCUAUGCUUGUCAGUAGUCAUGAUAUGUAUUUGGUUGGAAACAAUAAAAGUUUGAGUCUUGUCAUUGAUAUUAGUCCUCUUCAUGUAAAUUAGCCUCCAUAUAUAUAUAUAUUGGUUUUGUGAAAGUUAUCUCCUAUAAUUUUUUUUUGGAUAUAAUUAUUAGGCUCUACAUCUGGUAUCGAAUCCUAUUUGCAUGAAAUUAAUCUUUGGGUGAGUUGUCAGAGUUAGGACACAAGAAUUGCCGGGACUGUUCAAUUGAUCACGUAAGGGCCAUUAUGUUGGUUUUGGAGUAUUUAAUUGGUCAAAAUUUGGCCAUAAAAUUGGUGUGAAAAUUAUUAACUUGAUUGUGGAUAUUGCUAAUGGUGACAGUUUUUGACAUGGUAAGUAAACAAACACAACACAAAAAAAAAAAAAAAAGUAAACACAACACAAAAAAAUCCUAAAUGAAACAAUACACGGAAUAAUUUAUGUCAAAAAUGGAUCCAGCGCGAACAUGACGCGCAACAGAAUGGGUUGUAUUGGGCCAAUCCGUAGGUUGAUAUGACUAACAUGUUUUUGACACGUUAAGAAUUUUGAAAAAAUGCUACUCGUUUCCCUCCUAAUACUACACUUAAAAAAAUGGUUUUGUAUUAAGUUUUAUAGUUUAAGAACUAAAAUAAUAUAAUCAACCUACUAUAAGAAUACAUAAAAACACAUAAAUCGAGACUCUACAAAUUCACAUAUGCAACUGUUAUGAUUUUAAUUUUUUGCUUCCUUCCUUUAAUAUUCUUAUUUUCUCAAAUUGAUAAGCAUAAACAACCUCUAUGAUUUUAACUUUUCACUUCCGCCUUCACUCUUCAAAUUGAUCGAAACUUACCUUUAGAUCAAAAUUGCUCAAUUUUUCUUCCUUUCUUGUGAUUAAAUAUCUUUUCUAGGUAAUCUUUAAUAUUUCGGCAAAUUUAAUUUCUAUCAUUUUUGUCUAUUUUAUUUGAGCAUUUUCUAGUUUAUACUGCUCCUCUAUUUUAUCAUUUUCCCUAUCAUUUUCUUUCUAAAGUUUUUCUUUCUUGUGAAAGAAAAAUAAAAUAGGCUUUUUUCUGUAUAUUAUUAAUGAGAUAAUCAUGCAUCCAAAACUUAUACAAGUAAAAAUCCAAUGACAGGCUACAGCUAAAUUAGAUUAAGAGAAUAUUACAUAUUUUUUGAAAGAGAACCAUGUUUUAUUUUUCGGCAAUAUUUCUCCUAUAAUUUUGAUAUAAAAAGUUAAAUGAGUCAAUUGGGCCAAAACAUGAGAUGAACCUGUCCAAAUGUAUGGAGUAUUGCAGCAACAAAUCUUUUUGAAGAUUAAGAAUUCAAAUUUAUAUUAAUGAAAUUUACAAAUGAGAUUAUUAUUGCUGAACUUGAUUCAAUAGAGAGUUUGAUUUAAGGGAAACAAUGUUGGCAUAUUAAAUUAAAGCUAAAAAUUUGAAUUUCUAUACUAUUAUUUAGUAGUAUUUUGGUCACAAAUUUUUUUAGUAGUUCUAGAGAGCUAAGAAAUGGUAGUAUAUUAAGAAUUGGAGGCUCUAGGACAUAGAGGUUCUGGGUUCAAAUCUCCAUUCCUCCUCCCAUUUCUUAAAUCCUAUCCCUCCCCUUGAUUAGAAAAAGUUAAAAUAAUUAUUUAGAAAUUGGUACUGUAUUAGAUAAUUAUUGUAGCUAUCAAUACUUGUUAUCAAAUCAUGUAAUCUGUAAGUAGAGUCAUAUUACCAUACCACUUGAGAAGAUUGGAAGUUUAAUAGCCUUGUUGUUGUGGUGUUAUUAAUAUUUUAUUAUUAAUAUCAUUGUUCUUUUCUCACAUAUAUGUGUAUAUGUGUAAAUUAGCCUCCCAUAUAUAUUGGGUUUGUGGAAUUUAUCUCUCAUAAUGAUCUUUUGACUAUAAUUGUCACGCCUCGUGCCUAGAACGUAGCACCACACACGCCAUAGACAAUGCUAAAGGCGUAAGGCAACAAAUUUCCAAAAGCAACUACAUUUACCUUUAUAUAAACUUUUUAAAUCCGCAAAUACAAGAUCAUCUAUAUAACAGCAAUUUUGUGUCUUCCAAAAUAAAAGCAAGAUCAAACCUUCUACAAUAUGUACAAAAUUCAAAUCCUAUCAUAAGGUAUCUUAUAUAUAAGUACAAAAGUCAUCCUCUAACCCAAAGUCAUCUCCAUCUCCAUUACAACCCCCAAGAGCUAUCAAGGUCUACUUCAAUGAACUCAUCAUUAACUGCAUAAUUAUAACAAAGGGGUGAGCAAAAUCUCACUCAAUAAGUAGUGCAUGUAUCUCAUUAUUUGCCUGAGCAAUGUUACAUACAUAAUAUAUAUUUCAAACGUCAUUAACUUACACAUAUAACUUUAUAAGAACAUGGUUGCUAUAAACAUUUCAACGGCAUAUCAUACAUCACACACACAAAAGGAGCUCAAACCAUAAGACAACAAUUGACCCAGGAUAUCCAGUUGUUAACUUAAACUUAACCAGUUAACACAGUUCAUAGUGCUAACUACCACAUAGUUAGCCCAUUUCAUAUUGCUCACUACAACAUGGAUAGCUCGGUUCAUAUACCAACUACUUGUGAGGAACUAGUCCUAUCAAAAGUCGCUUAUACAAGAGCUCAACAAACAUAACAUUUCAUUUCACAAAUGACCAUGGCAAGAGUAAUAACAAAUAUCACAAAAUUAUACUUGCUCAUGCCAUUUUAGCAAUUAGACAAGUAGCUUUCAAAAUUUAUCAUUCAAAAGAUAAAGGAUACAUGCACCAGUUACCUCGAUCCAAUCGAUACCCACGCUAUUUCAAGUAAUCGGAAAAAUAGCUACCUUCUCACCUAGACAUAAUGAUAAAAUGUUCAAUUACAAUCUUAAAGAUACCAAACUACUCCAAAUUAUCAUAAAAACGAGCCUAAUACUACCCUUAACCACUAAUUCCUAAUAAAAGAUCAUUUCCUCAUCAAAGUAGGACAUAAGGGUUUACUUUAAAGGGUCACUAACUUCCAAAAAUACAGAAAUGGUCAAGAGAUUUAUAUAGAGUUAAAGCCCUCUGAAUCUAGUUUCCAACGCAAUAAACGGCACCUAAAUCCGAAUUUUCUACACCAAGUUAUAUCCAAAGCAUUGAAAUAUGUCUAUACAGAAAAUUCAAUCUGUCCGAGAAUUAUAGCCAAUCCAUCCGAGGAUUUUAGCCAAUUCGUUCGAGGAUUAUAGCCAUGGAUUUCUAGCAAGUUUUCAAGGCAAAAACAAGUCAUUCUUUCCCUCAACAUUUCUCCUUUUUAUAUUGAUGAUAGCCCUAUAUACCCAUUUGAAAAUGGAGACCAAAACAAACUCCAUACACCAUAGCCAUGGAAGCUAACCAAGGAUUUGAACCAAAUACUACCCAAUCACCCAAUCAAAGAAAACCAAGAUCAUGUUCAAGGUUUCAAGAAAAUACCUUGGUUAGUCGUCAAAGUAGAAUCUCCUAACUCCUCACUCCUUAUUGUGCUUGAUUUGUCAAGAAUCCUCCUUGAUUGUAAGGAAAAAGGAGAGAAAUAAGAAAGGGUUUUGUUGGAGAAGGAAGGAAAAAAGGAAAUGAAGAAGAUGAAGAAAGUUUUUGGUAAAAAUGAAUAGUGAAAUCCCAAUAUCACUUUUAUUCUUUCAAAAUUUCACAUAUUAACACAUUGGUCACUCAACUUAACGUCAUUCACUUUUCACCCCAAAAUAGUAUUUCUUCACACAAAAUUCUCUACAAGACACUUGGGUAUCACAUUCUCCCCCUCUAAUAAAAGUUUUGGCCUCGAAAUUUAACGUACCUCGUUGGUUAAACAAAUGUGAAUACUUAGUUCGCAUUUCCUCUUCGAGUUCCCAAGGCUUCACGAGUACUAUGAUUGGACCAUUGAACUUUAACAUAGGGAAUUGUCCUUCUUCUUAGCACUUGAUCUUUACAACCCACAAUUCGAAUUGGCUUCUCACUAUAAGUUUGAUCCUCUCAUACCAUUAAUGGCUCAUACUCCAGGAUAUAACUUGGAUUAAAUACAUAUUUUCUCAAUUGCAAAACAUGAAAUACAUUGUGAACUCUUGAUAAAGAUGGUGGCAAGGCUAACUUGUAUGCCAAUUCUCCAACUCUAUCCAAAAUUUCAAAAAGCCCAACAUAUCUUGCACUCAGUUUUCCACGUUUCCCAAAUUGCAUGACACCCUUCAUUGGUGAAAUUCUAAGAUAUAAUUUAUCCUCUUCUUGAAACUCUAAUGGUCUUCUUUUCAAAUCGGCCCAACUCUUUUGUCUAUCUUGUGCUGUUUUCAACCUUUCUCUCACUAGUGCCAUCUUCUUGAUUGUAGCUUGUACAAGUUCGGAUCCAGUAAUGAUCCUUUCACCUACCUCAUCCCAAUAUAAGGGCAAUUUACACUUCCUCCCAUAUAGAGCUUCAAAAGCUAGCAUGCCGAUACUACUAUGAUAACUGUUAGUGUAAGAGAACUCACUUAGCACCAGAGAAUCCUCCCAACUGCCCCAAAAUCCAUAACACAUGCUCUAAGCAUGUCCUCCAAGGUUUGAAUUGUACGCUCUGAUUGCCCGUCAAUUUGAGGAUGAUAAGCUGAGUUGAGGUUUAACUCGGUUCCUGUGGCUUGUUAGAGACUUUUCCAAAAUCGAGAGGUGAAUCUAAGAUACGAUCAGACACAAUACUCACUGGACACUAUGAUAACGAAUAAUGCAAUCCAUACAGAGAUUAGCCAAAGUAUCCAUAGAUGCAGUAGCAACCAUAGGUACAAAAUGAGCUGAUUUUGUCAGUCGAUCAACUAUUACCAAAUGGUGUCAUUACCUCUCCUAGACUUGGUAAUCCAACAACGAAAUCCAUUGCUAUAUGCUCCCAUUUCCAUUCCGGUAUUGUCAAAGGCUUUAAUAAUCUAGCAGGUCUUUGAUGUUUGGCCUUUAUUUGUUGACAAACUAAGCAUUUAGACACAUAAUUCGCGAUCUCCCUCUUCAUACCACUCCACCAAUACGACUGCUUUAAGUCUCGAUACAUCUCAGUGUUAUUAGAAUGAAUAGAGGCUUGGGAGAAGAGCAAGCCUCCGCCAUUAUUUCUUUUCGUAACUCCGGAUCUUUAGGCACCACAAGCCGAUUCCACAUCCAUAUACUACCAUCCUUGAGUAGUUGAAAGUCGGGUAAUUCCUCACUUUUAACUUUUUCCUUGAUUUUUGCCAACUCAAUAUCAUCUUCUUGAGUUUCCUUGAUUCUCGAAAUUAAGGAUGGUUAGGCAACUAGAGUUGCGAGCACAUGCAUGAAGGAUUCUACCACCUCUAAAUUCAAUUCCUCCAUUUGUUUGACAGGUGCCGAACCUGUACAAUAAUAAUAAUAAAACCUAACUACCACCAAAAGCAAUCAAUAAUCAAUUCUAAGUAUUGGAGCAGGGACUCUAGGUAUGCAAUGAGUUACUUGAUUCACCUGUUGCUGAAGAGUUUGUUGAAUCCGAUAUACCAAAAUUAAUUAGCUAACUAAAUUUACUAAGUAGUAGACAAUGGCAAGCAGGGUCGUCUCCUCAGGGGCUGGAGAGAAAUUUGUUUCUUUUUAAGCCAAGACAAACGGAGGGUUUGAAAAUUAGAUGCUAAAGAAUCACUAACUAAACAAAUUAAAUGCAAAAAAUAAUUAAUUGAGAGAAAUAAUUGGAGAAACUCUAGCCAAGGGUGCACUUCAGAAAUGGUUCAUGCAACUGAUCAUCGAUUCAAAUAUAAUUCCAACAAUUAUUAAUAGAUUAGUUAUAGUUGUCAUGCACGCGAUAAACAACCAGCAUUUCCUUAAUUUCUCGAUAGUUAAGGUACAACCGUUAACUAUUUCUCUAACCAAAAAACAACCCUAGGUACGACCGUAGGAUUUAAUUUCUAGUUUGCAUUAAGAUUUAGAAAAGCCCAAUCCUAACUAACAAACACACUACGAGGGUUUGUUUAAAUUAGAUCGUAUGUUUUCCUGACAUAAACCCAAUUACGCCAGUUGCUACCGGGAUGGAGCUAAUCAAACAAUUACGGAUUCAACUACUCCCAAUUAGCAAAUUAACUAAGUGAAUAACUAAAUAUUGCGCACUAUUCAGUCAUACACAAUAGCUAUGACAAUUAAAGGCAGAAACAUACAAAUACUAAUAAAUGAAGGAAACAGUUAAAACAAUUUCGAUCUCACAGUUAUUGUUGAACCAAAUUUUCAAUUGUCUCCUUGACUAAAAGUGGUGAUUAGUUCAUCCUCAUUGAGAGUAACUCACGCAAUGCCAUCGAAGGAAAUUGCGUCAAUGUUUGACAAUAGAAGAACUACUCAGAGAAGAAGAGAGCCAAGCGGCUGCCUUCCUCCCCUUUUCUUAUUCCCUGGCCGAGUAGUAAUCACGCGGAUCCGGCUUUUGUUCUUCCUAUUUUCUAGCUUUCUAAAAACACAUUGAACUUCUCCCUCACAAUCCGUAGUAAAUGAUUCCAAAAAAAUCUCCUACUAUAGGAAAACUAACUUCCUAAAGAUAGGUACUCAAGCGCUUAAAAGUCUCCUAAACCAACCCAAUUACUAAUUAGAAACUUGGCAAAUAAUAUCAUCUUCCAGUUAUGAUGACGACUCCCACUUGGAUUAGGAUACUGCCCGCAUAGAAUCCCCGCACUCCAGACUUGAUUGAUGUCUUCUCACGCGUCCACACUUACUUGGAGGAAAAUCUUCUAAAAACUGUUAUUUCUGCACUUUCUUUCUCCAAUUGGCUAAACAUCCCCUAAACAUAAAAUUCAAACAAAAUAUGUCCAUUAAUGCAAUAUCCAAUCCAAUAAGAAAAGGAAAUUAUAAGAAAAUUAAUGCUAAAUUAGCGUUCUAUCAUUGUUUUACUAACAUAACUGCUAUCAUUCCUGAAUUUUUCCUGCUCAAAGCAUCAGCAACCUUGUUUGCUUUUUCUGGAUGAUAACUAAUGGUAAGAUCAUAAUCUUUCAUUAACUCAAGCCAUCUUCGUUGUCUCAUGUUUAGCUCUUUCUGCGUGAACAAAUACUUUACGCUUUUAUGAUCUGUAAAGACUUCACAUUGCUCCCCAUACAAGUAGUGCCUCUAAAUCUUCAAGGCAAAAACAACGCCUGCCAAUUGCAAAUCAUGUGUAGGAUAGUUUGUUCAUACCGCUUCAAUUGACAAGAUGCAUAAGCUAUGACCUUCUCAUUUUGCAUUAGCACACAUCCCAACCCAUUUUUGGAUGUAUCGCUAUAAAUAGUGAAACCUCCAGAUCUAGAAGGUAAGGUGAGAACUGGUGCCGAAACAAGCUUAUUCUUUAAUUCUUGAAAACUAUUUAACAUUUAGGUGUCCACUCAAACUUAACAUGCUUUUGAGUUAAACAACUCAAGGACAAAGCAAUAGUAGAAAAUCCUUCAACAAAAUUUCUAUAGUAGCCAACUAAGCUCAGAAAACUCCUCAAUUCUACCACAUCAGUAGGUCGGGACAAUCCACAAUAGAUUCUAUCUUCUUAGGAUCCACAAAGACACCAUCUUGAGAAAUAACAUGCCCAAGGAAGGACACACUUUGAAGCCAAAAUUCACAUUUGUUGAGUUUUGUAUAAAGUUUCUCACGCCUCAAGAUUUGUAAAACAUCUCGCAGGUGAUUUUCGUGCUCUGCUUCACUUGGGAGUACACCAAUAUAUCAUCAAUGAACACCACCACAAAUCGGUCUAAUUGCUUUUUGAAUAUCCUAUUCAUCAAAUCCAUAAAGGCUGCAGGAGCAUUAGUCAACCCUAAAGGCAUGACGAGAAAUUCAUAAUGGCCAUACCUUAUUCUAAAUGCACUCUUUGGAAUAUCUUGCAGUUUAAUCCUUAAUUGAUGGUAUCUGUAAUGAAGAUCGAUUUUUGAAAAACCUUAGCCCUUUUAAAUUGAUCAAACAGGUCGUCAAUACGAGGCAAUGGAUACUUGUUCUUGAUCAUAAUUUUAUUGAGCUCCCAAUAAUCAAUGCACAAUUGCAUACUUCCAUCCUUCUUCUCUACAAAUAAAACUGAUGCACCCCAAGGGGAUACACUUGGUCGAAUCAAUUUCUUGUCAAGCAACUCCUGAACUUGAACUUUAAGCUCCUUCAACUCUGUGGGGGCCAUCCGAUAGGGUGCCUUAGAUAUAGGUUCUAAGUUGAGUAUUACAUUAAUCUCAAAAUCAAUUUCUCUCUUGGGAGGUAGACCUAAUAAGUCAUUUGAAAACACAUCUGAAAAUUCUCUUGCAAUUGGGAUAUCCUCAAGUUUUAUCUCUUUCUUACUAGAGUCUACUAUAUAAGUCAAAAACAUUCACAUCCUUCCUAAUUGCUCUCCAAGUUUGUAUGGCAGAUAAAAUGGGUAGAGACUUCUUCUUUGGUUUUCCUCAACACCCUUGAAAAGAAAAAUGUGGAAUGUUUGGGGUUUAAAAAUCAACACUUUUACCCAUACAAUCUAUAUGGCAUAAUUUUGUGAUAGCCAAUCCAUACCUAAGAUAGCAUCAAAUUAUAUUCAAUUGCACUAGAUUUGCCUUAAACUCUCUCCCACUAAAUCUAAAGUAUAACCUUCAUACAUAAGGUGAGAAACUAAAACUUUUCCCCGGGAAUGGCUACACGAUACGGGUCAUCCAAAACACAGGGUUUAAUAUCUAACUCUCAUGCAAACUUCUUUGAAAUGAAAGAAUGGCAAGCCCCACAACCAAAUAACACAUCCGCUGGAAGAGAAUUAAUCAUUUCCAUACUUGUCACAACAUCCUCUACUCCUGCUGCUUCUUGUUCAGUCACCUUAGAGAUUGUGUAAGGUCGAUCUGCACUAGAAUUCAAGCUAUUUCCUAGCCUAUUGUUGCCUCUAGUUUGCUUAGAAUUCGGGCAAUUACUCACUUUAUGCCCCAUUUCUCCACAACUAAAACAAGCUCCCGUUUUCCACCUGCAUUCUCCGAAUGAACCCGAUGACAAUAAUCACACAACUUAGAUGGGUUAGUAGGUAGAUACCUUGGAAAAGGUUGUUGAGAAGAAUUAGCCUAUUGCGAAACUAUAGGUCUUGGUAACGGUGCUUGUCGGGGAGGUUGCAUUGGUCGAAGAGGUUGCAUUACACGAGAAGGCUGACCAUGUUGACGAAGUUGGCCUUGCAUUACGAUUUAUCUAUUUCUCCUUUGUCUCGUCUCUUCAUCCUCCUGAAGAAUGUCUUGUUCAACAUCUAAACUAGCUUCAUACAUUUGGUCACAAUUGGCAUAGAAAUUUUCAGAUAUUUUUGAUUGAAUCUGACUAUUCAAUCCUCCCUUAAAGGAGACCAUCUUCACAGUCUCAUCGCCAUUGUAGAAGGGACGAAGCAUCCCAAGGAGAGAAAAAUAGUGUAGUACUCACCCACAGACAUGGAACCUUGAUUAAGGUUAUUGAAUAUUCGAAUAUUUUGAACUCGAAUAGCUGGUGGAAAGUAAUGCUGUAGAAACAUCUUUUUGAACUCAUCCCAUGUCAAAGUACAACCUGAAGAAACCAUGGUCAGGGCUACACCAUCCCACCAUUUCUCUGCUUCACCAAGAAAGAUGUCACUACUUGAGGUCGAAUAUCUUCUGGCACCAUCAUAGUUUGGAAUUUGUUCUCAAUUUGGGAUAACAUCUCUCUGCCACAUUCAAGUUUGGACCUCCAUCAAAAGUAGGCAAAUAGACCUUGCUAAGCUCCUUGAAAUGGUACUUAACACUAACCCAUAUCUUGCUCUCUUUCUUCUUGUUGUUGUUGUUGAUAUUGCUGCCAUCCAUGCAUGAACUAAUAUGCCACAGAUAAGGUAGUUGGAUCUAAUUUUAUUAUGACACCCAAACUUUUGCAUUUUAGCCCCAUCUGUGGUAAACUAAUUUCAUUAACUCUACCAUGACAUCUAAUCUUUUAUAAUUUAGUCUCGUAUAUGAUAAAUCGAUAUCAUUAAUUCUAUUAUGGCACCCUAUCCUUUGUACUUUAUCCUAUGUUUUUUUCAUUAGCAAAAUGCGGAAGGUAUUGUAAUAAAAAAAUGUAUAUAUAUUUUAUAAUUGAUCCAAAUUUAGUUAAUAACUUGGUAUUAAAGUUAAAAAUAUCAUGGAUUCCCUAUCCAGUUCUCUUGACAACACCUAGAAAAUUAUUGAUUAGCAUAGUAGGAAAACAAUGGCAAAGAAUUUUAAUAUGAAAUUAAGUAAAGCCUUGACAAUUGGAUGGCUAGAGUUUAUUAUUAAUUACACUAGUCACAUUGUUUAUGGUUUAUGAAUCAGUACUUGUACUAAAUACAUUUAGUGUUUCAUGCAUGUAUUAGCAAACUAUUUUGGUUAUUUGAUCAACUAAACAUAUUGUUAGGUCUUGUCAGACCAUAAUUCGUACAUAAUUGACAAAAUUAUUAAAUUAAAACAAAAAAUAUUUACAUUAAAAGAUUUUUUUUGAAUCAUAAACAUAUUUUUAAUAAGCUUUUUAGUUUUUGAACAUUAUUUUUUUGUAGAGAUAAAAAAACCUAUGUUAGUAAAAAAAAUUAUCAAAAAACACUAAAUUUUCAUAUUCUAAAAUUUUAAUACAACAAAUAAAGUUUUAAUAUAACUUGUGAGAUAAAACUCAAAAUAAUAACCAAUUUUAAUUACACAGAGAUGGGGGAAAAAAGAGAGAUAUUAGAGAAGGCAUUGUUUUUGUAAAGAAAGGUCCAAAUAGUUUGUAUAAAAGUCACUUGAAAGUGUUAUUUUUUGGCUGAAGCUAAAAUGGAAGCGGGAAUUGAAAAUUGAAAGAGUAGAGGCGGGUGAACAAAAGAAGCAGAAACGACGUCAUUUUAGCAAGAGUUAAACAAAAACACUCAUAACACUUAGAAAAAUUUCGGACAAAACUUGCUUUCCCCCUUCUUGCCAACUUCGGACACUACAUCUUCUCCUUCUCUCCAUUAUCAUCUUGCUGAAAUUAUCCAGAAAAUCAUUUUAACCCAUCAUUUUCAUCCGUAAUUUGAGCUACCCAAAAGAUUUGGGCAGCUUUAGUGGAGUUGUAGAUAGCAAAAAUCCUAACUCGGGUAGCACUUGCUUGCUGGCAAGAACACAGAAAAUUGACCAUGAAUUUUUGGGGAAAGCCAAAGUUUGAAGACUGAAUCUUAAGGAAACAAGAGCUAAGGUUGUCACAGCAUAAUUUGAGGUAAAUAAUCUGUUACAUUUUUCCAUCUAGUUUCGAUAUUUUCUGUCAAAUGUAGGUCGAGUGAGCUGAAUCUUGAGUUUAUGGGCCCAAUCUUCCACUUUAAUCUUUCAAUGGUGAGAGAUUGAGAGAGUUUUGAAAGUGAAACAAAGUGAAGGGAAGCUAUCCUUUGUGAACUGUCCAGACCCCCUGAGAAAAUUCAUGUUUGAAUUUUGGAUGUGGAAAUUUUACUUGUAGCGAACUAUUUUUCUGAGUUUGAUAUGUUAAAAAUUGAAACAUUUUUGUGUAGUUGAUAGCGAUUUAUUAUAAUUGUUGGAGAAAGUUAAUAACAUGUGCUGUUUUUUAUGUAAUUUUUCAAUUCUAAUUCUAUUUGUAAGAGUAGCUACAUAUUAUAAUGGCUUACAUACAACUGAUUUUGAGGUAAUAGAGCUUUAAUAUUCUAUAAGUCAAGUAUCCUUUUGGGAGCCAAUUCGAUAUUUAGUUUCUAAGACCUUAGAAGAAAUUUUGAUCAGUUUGGCGACUUCUAGAUAUUGAGGGAAUGAGAAGCUAUGCAAAGUGAGUGGAUUAUCUUGUUGGUAAGUGGAAGUGAGGCAGAUUGUAUAAUCUUAACUUGUGGCCUUUGACUUUAGAAGUUAACUGUAUAAACUUACCAUUACCACACACUAAUUAGACAUUGUUUACUCUGAUGUGGAGAAACAAACUCCUAAAUUGAUAAAUUCAUGUUAUUGUUAUGUUAUGAUUGUUUUAUUGCGCAUUAUGGGUUAGUGUUGCAGUAGAGUUUACUAUGGCUUUUUAAGAUUCCUCCCUAUUGAAUUAUAGUUUUUGACCUGGAUUUACCAACUGAACGUGAAAGAUUCUGCAACAAAUAAAUGUUGGCUUUGGAGUAGAAGAGCAUUGUUGUCCACCCUGUAGUUGUAUUUGUUAGAGAAGUUAUUAAGGGGACCAAGAAUAAUGCCAAUCUGUAAUGGCUUAUACAGUUAAAUAAGCCAUUAUGAAUAAAGUAUUAGUUUAGCCAUUACAAAUUGUAAUGUCAUCUACACAUUAAUGCUUUUGCAUUGUAAUGAGAAAGUGGACUCUAUUUUGAAAAUUAUGCACUAUGUUUAAGUUUGGAGCAGCAUUAACUCAUUAUUCUGCGGCAAAUGUCUUAUACAUUUGCACGGGUAAUUAGCUCUUCAAUGCAUGUUUACUUGCUAUGCAGAGACAUUUUCACUCUGAAAUGCAACCUAAUCUGUGAUGUUUGCUUGUAAGAGAGGUGCUGCAUGUUUAUUUGGAGAGUAUAGUGCUCAAACUCGCUCAAACGAUGACAAAUGAUAGUAGUGGUGUUUCUGACAUAAUACAUGUAAGUGUACUUUGAAACUUCUUAUUAAUUAACUCUAAAGAUUUUGAAGCUAUUCUGUGGCAUGUCAUCUUAGACAAGUGUGUGUUUGACUUUGAUAUGAUUCAUAGCCUCCAAAAGAUGUGGAUUCCAAUUUGGUCUGGUUUGUUGGAGUCUCAAGAUUCUCCUAACUUCAACUUUUAUUUCUUUCCCUUUUUUCUUUGGCUUCUUUAUAGGGAAUUUUUUUGUAAAGUUAUUUUAUUGAGCAACCAAGUUAAUGCCGCAUCAAAGAUUUCAUUGGCAAGUUACUUAUUAAGUUACUAGCAAGCAUAACUGUGGCGUUGCGCGGUGGAUUAGAUAGCAUGUAUGCCAUUUAGGUAUGAAUAAAUAGACAUUACAUGAAUAGUGAUAAUGUCACGGAAUUAAACAUCUUUUUUUUCAAUACGGAAUUAAAUACCUUGUGGUUACAUUAUCUAGUUUUAUUUGUUUAGAUCCAUAUACCGCGCUAAUUAAUCAUUAAUAUAUCCAUGAACGUGUAGAAGAAGGUAAGCAUUUAAUCCAAUUAAAAUUUAAUAAUAAUAUAAAAACAAUAUAGAAAGCAAUAUAACUUUGGAGAUCAAGAAUGUAAAUUUAAAAUUUAUGAUAGACAGAACAAGGGGUAGAAAUUGGAACUCAAAACAAGGUUAAUCUAUUUAAGGCAUUUAGAAGUACCAAACCAGAAAUUGGCACAUUGCAUCGGACAAAAGCAAUUGCAUUAAUGAUUUGGAGUCUACUUACAUAAUAUUUAGAUCCUGAACAGGCAAUGCUAAGGGUACAUAAUUUCUAUAUGUUAAUCUCAGUUCUUAGCUUUUGAUGAUUACAAAACAAAUGGAUGUUGCUAAUAUCUCCUCAAAAACCUUUUUAGAAAUGAAGCAAAUUAGGUUCAAAGAUGAACCUGUUGCUGAAGCUGUCGGACACACAAAAAAACUGGAUCAGAUGUUCGACAAUCAUUGAACAACUUCGGACGUAUGAGGAACUCCAUUACCGGACAUCCGAAAGAAAUCAAACACCUCCUUAAGCUCACUGACCUCGAUCGGACGCAGAACAUUAAAGCACCGGACGUCCGCAGAAUUGAAGAAGGAUUCUCAAACAUUACCAUCUGCUUUCGGGCGCAAACACUUUGGAGGUACCGGACGUCCGAAAGAAUUAAAGAAAUUUUUCUUGCUCUCUGCCUGCUGUCGGACACAAGAAACAAGACUACCGAAUGUCCGACACUACCAACGGUUAGUUGAUUUUUCAGCUACCUUCUAUUCGUUAGAAGCUUUAAUGAAGGAAUUUUUUGGUCUCCUAUCAAUAGAGCAAAGUCAACCACUUCAAAUUACUUUUGCACAUUGAAACUACAAAAGAUCGAGAGCAAUUUUAGUGAGAAAAUUCUCUUCAAAGAAGAUUUGUACUCUUAGUUGUGUAGAUUUCGUACAAGCUUUUCUUGUGUGAGAAAAUUACUUCAAUAGUGUAGCUUUGUGAGGGUUAUCCGAGUGAUAAUAAAACUUGCUAACUUGAUCAAGUGUGGUUUGGAGCAAGGAGAAAGUGAUCCUUUUUUUCUGCACAUAGAUUAGUUGUAAUUGAUUAACUUGAAGAAACUUACUCUAUAAAGUGAUAUUCAAACUCAAGAGGAGAUUGAAAUUUGGUUUGCUAUUCUAUCUCUUUUAUUUACUAUACUGCCAAUAUAAAUUGUUCAUCUCUUCUACUCACAGACAUUUGUACUUUCUCAUUAUUUGUUCCAUUGUAUGGUCAUCUAGAAAGAGGGUAAAUUUCAUAUUCAAUCAAAAAGUGUCUCAUAAUUUGGUUAUUUUGUAAUUUACCUAAUUCACCCCCGUCUUACGUUGUUUUCGAUCCUUACAAUUGUAUCAGAGUUUGGUCUCCUAGAGAUUAAGCUAAUCGACUUUGGAAUAAAAAUGACAACCAACAAUGCCAUGUUUUUUGAAGGAUAAUCUGUCACUAGACCCCCAAUGUUUAAUGGAUCCAAUUAUGUGAAUUGGAAGGAAAGAAUGAUUAUAUUCUUGCAAUCUAUUGAUAUUGAACUAUGGUUUAUUGUUAAUGAAGGUUCAUUUGAAUAACUCUACAAUUGAUGAAGCCACUCAUAGACUAAAACCAAAAUCAGAAAUGAGUUGACUGCUGAGAAUAGAUCUCAUCUCACCUUGAAUACCAAAGGUAUGAAUGUGUUGUAUAGUGCUUUAGAUUCAAAUGAGUCUAUUAGAGUCAAAGGUUGCCGAUCUGCAAAAGAAAUUUGGGAUAAACUAAGAGAGAUCCAUGAAGGAAGUGAGAAUGUAAGAGAAAAUAAAAGAAAUCAAUCCUAGUUACUAAGUAUGAAUCAUUUAAGAUGGAACCUUAUGAAAACAUUGAUAAGAUGUAUUGUAAAUUCAAUGAUCUCAUUAAAGACUUAGAUCGGUGCUGGAAAAUGAAUACACCUUAGGUCGAGAAAAAAUAGAAAGAUUUUGAAUGCACUGACCAAAGAUUGGGAGAGUAAAGUGACUUCCAUUGAAAAAGCUAAAGAUCUAAAUACUAUGUCUAUUGAAUCUCUCAUUAAUUCUCUAAUUUCUUAUGAGUUGAACCUUAAGUCUAAGGUACAAGAGGAGGAAGAUGCAAAAGUGAGAAGAAGCAUUGCUCUAAAGACUUCUCAAGAUGAAGAUGAUUCAACUUCCUUAGAUGGAGAUAAUGUAGAAGUUGAUGACAAUGAUCUUGCUCUUAUCACAAGGAGUUUUAAAAGAAUCCUCAACAAAAGGAGAUUUAGAAGAGGAGGACCUAGCAAUACAUUUUCUAAUCAGUUCAAUAAUUCAAGAAACAAAGGAAAAUAAGAGACUAAUAAAAAGCAAGUAGACAAAUGCUUUGAAUGCGGCCAACUUGGACACUACAUGAGUGAGUGUCCAAUGAAGAAGAAGAAAGAAGGAAAAGUUGAACGAAAACCAAAGUUCAACAACUUUCAAAUUACAUGGAAUGAUUGUAACUCAGAUGGUGAUAUCGAAGAGAAAGAGAAUCUGCUCAAAUGGCUUUCAUGGCCAUUGGUGAUGAUGAGGUAACUACUUGCAACUGUCAACCUGUUAGUGAUGAUGAAUCUAAAGAUGAUGUUGAGUCUUUCAUUGAGAGAUUGCAUAAUAGCUUAAAAGAAUCGUAUGCUAGAAACAAGGAACUAAAAUAGAAAAUUAAUUUUUUGAUUCAAAACAAUGCAAAUCUUUUUCGACAAAAUAAAAUGCGGAAAGCUGAAAAUGACUGCUUGAAACAGGAUGAAAAUGUUCUACUUUUUGAGCUUGAUAGAAAAACAAAGCUGUGUGAGUUGUUCAAAAAGGAACAAGGUGACUUAAAAAGAAGAAUGGAUGGCCUAGAUAAAUUGCUUAAACAUAAGAAACAAGACUGCUUUCAAAAGAGUGAAUCAAAACCUCACUUUGACAUUCACAAGAAAAGGUUGAACUCUAAUGCAAACGAAUUUAACAUCUAUAAAAGAAGGUAAGCUAGAUUUAUUAAACCUGUCUUUGUAGGAAACUCACUGACUAUGUGUAGCUUUUGUUGCCAAGUUGGUCACAUGAAAAAUAAUUACUAUGUAAGAAAGAAUAUGAGAAAUGACAUGAAAUGCAUGUGGAUAGUUAGACAUAAUGUUAACUCUCAAGGACCCAAAAAGUAGUUGGGUACCAAAUAUAUCUUGUGAACUUUUGUGUAGGUGAGAUUGGUGAAUGUUAUUAAGGAAUCAAAAUUGUUCAUAGAUAGUAGAUGCUUAAGGCAUAUGAUUGGUGAUCCCUCACAGUUCAUCAAACUCAAGUCAAAAUCAAGUGGAAAAGUAACAUUUGGACAUGAUAACAAACCAAAACAGUUGGAGUUAGAGAUGUUGGUAAGAAUGACCAAACUUUUGUUCACAAUGCUCUUCUAGUUGAUAACCUGAGUUAUAAUUUGUUGAGUGUUAGUCAAUUGUGUGACAGAAAUCUGUUUGUGCUAUUUAAAAGGCAUGAAUAUCUUAUUCUUGACUCAAAAUUUAACAUUAUUUUCAAAGAAAAAAGAGUGAAUGACAUUUAUGUAGUUAUUCUAGAAAAUAUUGAUUCUUUCAUCCUAAAUGUCUUAAAACUGCAGAUGAGGAUCUUUGGUUGUAGCAUAGAAGGUUUUGUCACUUUAAUAUAAAUUUGUUAAAAAAAAUUCAAAAAAGAACUUGUUAGAAAUUUACCAAAAAUUAACUUUGAAAAAGACAAAAUUUGUGAUGCUUGUCAAAUUAGAAAACAAGUAAAAGUUUCUUCAAAUCUAAGAAUUGUGUUUCUACUUCAAAACCACUGGAUCUUUUACAUCUUGAUUUAUUUGGUCAUACACAAAUUGCUAGUUUGGGUGAUAAAAUAUAUUAUUUGAUUAUUGUUGAUGAUUAUUUUAAUACACUUGGGUGAUAUUUCUUGCUCAAAAGGAUGAUACUUUCAAAAGUUUUCUUUCAUUAUUUGCAAAAGUUCAAAAUCUGAUUGGAUUGAAAAUUAUCAAGAUUAGAAGUGAUAAUGGCUCGGAAUUUAAAUUUUGUGGUUUUCAGAAUUUUGUGAUAACAAUAGAAUCACAAUGAGUUUUCAAUUGCUAGAACUCCUCAACAAAAUGGUGUUGUUGAAAGAAAAAAUAGAACUCUUCAAGAAACCGCACGAACUUUGUUAAAGUGAAUGUAACUUACUAAAAUAUUUUUGGGUCGAAACCGUUAAUACCGCAUGUUAUGCUAUGAAUAGAGUUCUUUUGAGACAUAUUUUAAACAAAACCUCUUAUGAGUUAAUGUUUGAAAAAAGCCAAUUGUUAGUUAGUUCAAAGUUUCUGGUUGCAAAUGCUUUAUUUUAAAUAUCAAGAAACACUUUGGAAAGUUUGAUAAGAAAUCUGAUGAAGGUAUUUUUUUGGGAUAUUGUGAGAACAAAAGAGGCUUUAGAGUCUAUAAUAGAAGGACUCUUGUUAUUGAAGAAGCUAUACAUGUCACCUUUUGAUGAAUCUAAUGAUAAUAUUUUCAAAAGUAGUUGUGAGGAUGAUGAUGUAGGUGUCCAAGAAAGACUCAAGAAACUCACAAUUCAUGAUCAAAACGAUACUCCACAAGAAGAGAGCUCAAAAGAAGAUAAUCCCCAAGAUAGUCAAGCAUUAGAAGAAAAUGACAAUCAUGGUGAUGCACCUAGGAAUCUUCCAAAGGUUUGAAAGUUUGUUCAAAAUCAUCCUAAGGAAUUCAUUAUUUGGUGAUCCAUCCGAAAAGGUAAUUGUGAGAACAAAAGAGGCUUUAGAGUCUAUAAUAGAAGGACUCUUGUUAUUGAAGAAGCUAUACAUGUCACCUUUGAUGAAUCUAAUGAUAAUAUUUUCAAAAGUAGUUGUGAGGAUGAUGAUGUAGGUGUCCAAGAAAGACUCAAGAAACUCACAAUUCAUGAUCAAAACGAUACUCCACAAGAAGAGAGCUCAAAAGAAGAUAAUCCCCAAGAUAGUCAAGCAUUAGAAGAAAAUGACAAUCAUGGUGAUGCACCUAGGAAUCUUCCAAAGGUUUGAAAGUUUGUUCAAAAUCAUCCUAAGGAAUUCAUUAUUGGUGAUCCAUCCGAAAAGGUAAGAACUCGUUCCUCUUCAAAACAAUUGAUGGACAAUUUUGCUUUGGUCUCACAUUUUGAACCAAAAAUUAUUAUUGAUGCAUUGAAAGAUGAAAACUGGAUUUUAACUAUGGAAGAGGAACUAAAUCAAUUUGAAAGGAACAAGAUGUGGACAUUAGUUGAAAAAUCUCAUGAUCAUCCUAUUAUUGGCACAAAAUAGAUGUUUAGAAAUAAAAUGACUGACAAAGGUGAAGUGGUGAGAAAUAAGACUAGAUUAGUUCUUAAGAGGUAUGCUCAAGAAGAAGGAAUAGAUUUUGAUGAAACAUUUGCUCCCAUAGCAAGACUAGAAUCUAUUAGAAUGUUUUUGACAUUUGCAUGUUUCAAGAAUUUUAAAUUAUUUAAAAUGGAUAUUAAAAGUACUUUCUUAAAUAGUUUUAUUGAUCAAGAGAUAUAUGUUGAUCAACUACCCGGUUUUGAGAAUGAAAUGUUUCCAAAUCAUGUGUUUAAACUCUCAAAAACUUUGUAUGGUUUAAAACAAGCUCCAAGAGUAUGAUAUGAAUGCUUAAGUGGUUUCUUGAUUGAAAAUGAUUUUGAAAGGGGCAUUAUAAACACCACUUUUUUCACCAAACGAUGUUCCAAUGAUCUACUAAUUGUGCAAAUAUAUGUUAAUGAUAUUAACUUUGGUGCUAUUAAUGAGUAUUUGUGUAAGAAUUUUUUCAACUAUUAUGCAAAAAGAGUUUGAGAUGAGAAUAAUAGGAGAAUUGAAUUUUUUCCUUGGGUUUCAAGUGGAACAAACUCGAGAAGAAACAUUCAUUAAUCAAGCUAAAUACACCAAGGAAUUGCUCAAAAGGUUCGGUAUAGAGGAAUCAAAAUAAGUUGGAACACCAAUGUGCACAUCUAUCAAACUUGACAAGGAUAAAGGAGGUAUAAAUGUUGAUGAAAAGAAGUAUAGAGGUAUGAUUGGCAGCUUACUUUAUUUAACUGCAAGUAGACUUGAUAUCAUGUUUGCUAUUUACUUGUGUGCUGGUUUCCAAUUUUGUUCAAAAAAAUCUCACUUGCUUGCUGUGAAAACAAUUUUUAAAUAUUUGAAAAGAACAUUGAACUAUGGUCUUUGGUAUCCUAAAUGUCAUGAAUGUCCUUUAUAUGGUUUCUCGAAUGCUGACUUUGGUGGAUGUAGAAUAGAUAGAAAGAGUACUAGUAGUACAUGCCACUUUCUUGGUAAUUGUUUAGUAUUUUGGUUAAGUAAGAAAUAAACCUAUUUCAUUGUCUACGGCCGAAACGGAAUAUGUUACCACUAGUGCAUGUUAUACUCAAUCGAUGUGGAUGAAAAGUACCUUGAAUGAUUUUGAAUUAGUAUAUGAUUGUGUGCCUGUGUAUUGUGACAAUAAAAAUGCUAUAAAUUUGACAAAAAAUCUCAUUCAACAUUCUAGGAUAAAGCAUAUUGACAUAAAGCAUCAUUUCAUUAGAGAUCUCGUCCAAAAAGAUGAAAUUUGUGUGCAAUAUGUUUGUUCAAAGGAUCAAAGUACUGACAUUCUCACAAAAGCCCUUCCACUAGAUCAGUUUAUAUUUUUAAGAACAAAAUUGGGUAUUAUUGAAAAGUUUUUUUGAAAAAUUAUCUGGUCACACUUUAUCAAACGUCUGACAGUGUUCUUGAUCACUUUUCCAGAAAAUUUGGUUUUGGACGAUAAUGUCAGACGCUUCACUUCGUUCAACCGUCCAACACUCUAAAAAUGCUUGUUAUAAGUCAGUUUUCUCCUUCAUUCAGUUUAUUUUUCUAUCCGUUAUAUCAGACGCAACUUCUCAUCCUCUCCUAUUUUCAAAUUUCAAAGUUCGUCUCUCUUCUGAACAAGUUUCAAGAAAUUAAUUAGUUCAAAGCCUUUACACUCUUUUUACCCGUUCAUAACCCCUCAUAACUUCCUCUAACUGCCAACUAGUCUAUAAAUCCCAAUUCUCACCCGAAACCCUAGUCACUUAAAAGUCACUCUCUCUGGAUGAUUCAAGCCCUCAUUAUAAUUAAUACCGCACUUUUAGUCAGUCUCAUACAUAUUUUCAUCAUUCUCCAUAACAAAAACAAUCUGCAUUUCAUCAUGGUAAGAAUUAGGGAAGGAUCUGUCAGUGCAAGACGCACCACCAGGUUCAGGUUGAGGGAUGAAGAUACUGAAAUUAUUGAGCCCUCUACCACUAAAUUUCCAAAAAGGGCGACAAAAAAACAUGGUGGAAAAGGAAAAGGUUCGGCCCAAAAAAAACAUUCAGAGAAAUGGCAAACUACUUCCGCUGAGCAAACUGCAUUACCUCUUAUCAGUGAUAGUGAAGAGGAAUUGGAGCAGCUUACUAAUGUUGAUGCAUCUGUCACGAAAUCACCCAGAAAAGGGACUGAACCUCAUUGUAAAAAGGGGAAAUGGUCUGCUAAAAAGAAUGGGACAGUUCAAACUAAGGAAAGGCAAACUGCUGAUCCUUCUGUGAGCAAAUUGAGGAACAGCAGACUGUUGAGCAAAAUGCUAAGAAUCAGCAAGCUACUGAGACUUCCACCAGAAAGUCACCAAGAACAAGGUUUGGUGGACAGACCGAUAUACAUGAUACUCCACGAAAUGGAAAAAGGAAACGAACUGCCAGAGAGCAACCUGAGGCUCAGAUUGCAGAGGAAUCUACCUCAUUGCCAAAGUUCAUUGAUGAUGAUGCCCGAGAUAGGUUCGAAUGGGUUUCUCAGAAGGACUUCAUCACCCAAUGGGCAAUUAUCCCUCAUGAAUUCCGUAAGUUUGACCUUGAACCUGUCAUUAAGUUCUUUGAAUUCCAAAAAUGGAUUCAUAUUUUGACCAUUCCCAACACCUACUACCCUGACAUGUUUCAUCAAUUUUUUGUCAAUCUUAGGAAGGGUAAAUCCCAUACUGAUCUAGUCUCACGAGUAAAUUCUGUUGAUAUAGAAUUAAAUCCUGAUAUUGUCAACACUGUUAUGAAAAUCAAAAUUGAAUAUGGUUUUAAAGGAAAAAUUGCUAACUUUUUUUCAUAUGAACAAUUUCUUUCUGCCUAUAAUCACUUUCAUAUUGCAAAACUGAUAACUUAUUUUCAAACUCAUUUUAAUACUCUUACUGAGGCAAGAUUGGAAGAUCUCAAUCCUCAAAAUUUGAUCAUCUUCUCUAUAAUUUCAUCUAUUAGUUCCUACUGAUGGUUAUAGGACAGAUGCCAACAAAAUGGAGCUUUACCUGUUUUUCUGCUUUCUUGAAAAAAUUUGAAUUGAUUUCGGCUUUGUUAUGUGUAAAUUCUUACUCAAAAUCAGCACUGAUAGCCGUAGAAAACUUUCCUAUGAAAAAUUUCUGAUCCCAAUUUUUGCUCAUUUCAAAAUUCCCUUCACUGACAAAUCACCAAAAGAAAGUACAUCUAUUGUCUUUUCAAAGGCAUAUUUUGAAAGAAAAAAUCUGAACUUUUUUUUAUGGAAAAUGGUGCUACAAGGAAACUGUUUUGGAGACUAGGAGAAAGAAUCAUCAUGAAACACCUGUCUCCCCUAGGACUCCUCAAGAUCAGUCCAUGUAUAUUUCAUCCUUUACUAUCCAUCCUAGAAGGUCAGCCACUACGCCCUCUUCAUCUAACUCUGAGGUUAUUUCUUUGCUUGAAAAUCUCAAACAACACAUUCUACUCCUUGAAAAUGGUCUAAUGAUGACCAUGCCACCCGACCAACAAGCCACCUUCAUUGACAAAAGAAAUUUGCUUGUGUGACGGCCCCACUUCCCCCUAGGGCGUACCAAAGGGUUCGGCGGGUCGCCUGCCCAACUCUCGCCGAGACUCAGUCGUUCACUACAUUCCUCAAACAGAUUACAAUAUAAAUCUCAAAAAUUACAUCAAAUGUUCCCACAAUUACACAUCCAAGUCUCCAAUAAUUAUAUGUCACAAGCGAAGCGAAAACAAUUUCCAACUAUACAUAAAAUGAUUCCAAAUCCAAAUUGUACAAAAUAUAGGCCAUCUAUUCAAGUGAAUAACCACAACAAGCCUUCCUUCGCCACGAGCCCUGUGGAGGGGAAUAAAACAUUUUUGGGUGAGUUAGAAGCUCAGCGAGUAACCAGUAAAUUCAGUAAUCAAAUAUAUUUCACAAUAUUGCAUUUCGAUCCUUUCGAUGAUGUCAUGAUUCAGAGAUCAAAUAUACAUUUAUUGCUCUUGUGAGUCAGUGAAAUCAUGGCACUUGAACACCCAACGCUCAAAUAGAUCCAGUAAUAGUAAACAGUGAGAGAGGGAGCCAUUUGCUCCAGAUGAACAGUAAACAGAGGUGGAGACGUUGGUGUUCAGCACAAGACUUCUCCAGAACUCAGUGAAGCCAAAUCAUGUCAUGAACUCACAUGCAAGCACGCAUGAUAUGCAGUCGAGUAAAUAAUGCAAGAAACAGUUCAAAAGUAACUUUGGAAUCAGUUUAGGGUCACUCACCUCCACGGCUCAGAAACCAUCCAUCAUAUAUCAUUAUCUUGCCCGAGUCUGAGCCCUAAAUCACAAACUCAAAGCAAUCGUACAUUUUCAAAGUUCGAACAGCAUUUCCCCAUAAAUGCCUCAUUUCCAACCUACAAGGUAUCACUUACAUUUCAAACCAGGCCCACAGUCCGGCAUCCUAAACUUCAAGCCUAGGAUAAACUACAGAGAUCUGAAGCCUAAACUCUGAUACCACCUGUGACGAUCCCACUUCUCCCUAGGGCGUACCCCAGGGUUCGGCGGAUCACCUGCCCAGCUCUCGCCGGGACUCAGUCGUUCACUACAAUCCUCAAAUGAAUUACAAGAAUAAACCUCAAAUAUUACAAUGUAAAUCUCCAAUAUUUAUAUAUAAACAAAACGAAGCGGAAACUAAUUCCAAGCGUGGAACGUAUGUAUACAUCCGAUCGAUUCCAGACAUUCAUUACAAUCCCUAAUAAUAACUAUUACACAAAAGGAAAUCCAAAUUCAAACCAUACACGAGAUAAUCCAUCCAUUCACAUGAAUAAGCACUACAAGCCCUUUCUUCGCCACGAGCCCUGUGGAGGGGAAUAAAACAUUUUGGGGGUGAGCUAAAAGCUCAGCGAGUAACCAGAAAAAAUCAGUAAUCAAAUCGGUUUCACAAUAGUUCAUUUCAAUGAUGUCAUAUAUCAAUGAUGUCAUAAAUCAAAUGAUAAGUCCAGAAACAACUACAACAUUUGCAAAACAGUAAAUAUGGAGUAUCAAUAAUUCAAGAAACAUUUACAAUGGAAAGCGAUAGUAACAUUCAUGAAAAGAUACGGCUCACAGGAGCAAUUCAUUCGAUCAUUCAUUCGUUCUCCUGACAUUUUCCUUCCUUCAUUCAUUUGAAAAUGCAUUUUUCAUUUAUCAAUAAACCCUCGUUCGUUCGUUCGUUCAUUUCAUUCACCAAGCUCCACCAACCUCCACCAACCUACAUAGGUAAUACUCGAGUAUACCAAACGUUCACCCAAGUCCCUAAUCGCCCGACCGAGACCGCUUCUGGCUCGAGACGACCGGUAACAAGGGGCAAUGGCCAGUUCAGCCCAAAAGGCUUACAUUAUGCGCAACUAGUAUUUCAAUAAUUAAAUCCUUGAAAAUUGCACAGUUAUUUAGGUCGAAUGCGAUAAAGUACACACUCGCCUAGAAAGCUCGUUUUGGAAAUCAUUCAAAGCAGUUAACACGUUAUCAAUCAAUAAUACAAGUCAUGAAGUCAAGAAAAUAUACCAAAUAAGGAACACUCACAAGUCACUCAAACAUUCCAAGCAAGCACUAAGAGUUACUCUAAUCCCACUUGUAGGAAUGAAAAUCCGACAAGUGGGAUUAGAGUAACUCUUAGUGCUUGCUUGGAAUGUUUGAGUGACUUGUGAGUGUUCCUUAUUUGGUAUAUUUUCUUGACUUCAUGACUUGUAUUAUUGAUUGAUAACGUGUUAACUAUUUUGAAUGAUUCCAAAACGAGCUUUUUAGGCGAGUGUGUACUUUAUCGCACUCGACCUAAAUAACUGUGCAAUUUUCAAGGAUUUAAUUAUUGAAAUGCUAGUUGCGCAUGAUGUAAGUCUUUUGGACUGAACUGGCCAUUGCCCCUUGUUACCGGUCGUCUCGAGCCAGAAGCGGUCUCGGUUGGGCGAUUAGGGACUUGGGUGAACGUUUGGUAUACUCGAGUAUUACCUAUGUAGGUUGGUGGAGGUUGGUGGAGCUUGGUGAAUGAAAUGAACGAACGAACGAACGAGGGGUUUAUUGAUAAAUGAAAAAUGCAUUUUCAAAUGAAUGAAGGAAGGAGAAUGUCAGGAGAACGAAUGAAUGAUCGAAUGAAUUGCUCCCUGUGAGCCGUAUCUUUUCAUGAAUGUUACUAUCGCUUUCCAUUGUAAAUGUUUCUUGAAUUAUUGAUACUCCAUAUUUACUGUUUUACAAAUGUUGUAGUUGUUUCUGGACUUAUCAUUUGAUUUAUGACAUCAUUGAUAUAUGACAUCAUUGAAAUGAACUAUUGUGAAACCGAUUUGAUUACUGAUUUUUUCUGGUUACUCGCUGAGCUUUUAGCUCACCCCCAAAAUAUUUUAUUCCCCUCCACAGGGCUCGUGGCGAAGAAAGGGCUUGUAGUGCUUAUUCAUGUGAAUGGAUGGAUUAUCUCGUGUAUGGUUUGAAUUUGGAUUUCCUUUUGUGUAAUGGUUAUUAUUAGGGAUUGUAAUGAAUGUCUGGAAUCGAUCGGAUGUAUACAUACGUUCCACGCUUGAAAUUAGUUUCCGCUUCGUUUUGUUUAUAUGUAAAUAUUGGAGAUUUACAUUGUAAUAUUUGAGGUUUAUUCUUGUAAUUCAUUUGAGGAUUGUAGUGAACGACUGAGUCCCGGCGAGAGCUGGGCAGGCGAUCCGCCGAACCCUGGGUACGCCGUAGGGAGAAGUGGGGUCGUCACAGCUUGUACCUCCUGUUCCUCAAGACAAUGAGAAUGUACACCAAAAGGGACCUAGAAUUGAGUCAACUGAGCAAACUCCUCGUGCUGAAACUACUCCAGGAUUCGUGCUUCCAGUUCUCAUCCAUAGGACAAGGGAAAGGCUCCAGCAACUGAAGCAGAAACUGAAGAGGAUGAUGAUGAGGAAACUAAAGAGGAAGAAGUGGAUCCUGCUCAGUUUCGCCUAGCAAGAAGGAGGUCUGGAUCGUCCAAAUUACAAUUUAGGCACCUCUAGGUUCGUGUACUUCAUGUUUAAGUAGGCAUCUCAUAUUAGACAUUUGCAUCUUCGGCAUUUUAACAUUUCAAGUACUCUGUACUCAAGAUUCUGGUUGUUUGGUUAACUCUUCUGGCUUAUAAACUAUUCAGUUAACUUCUCUAUGUUGAAUGGUUUCUAAUUAAUUUUGUUGGUUAUCUUUUUGGUUAAUUCUGUUUGCUUCUGGGUGCUUGGUAUCCCUGUGACUUCUGAUUUUUAACAUUGUUUGCUGAUAUUGGUGAUUGUUGAUUUUGUUGGAUAUUCUUGGUUAAUGAUGUUGUUGAUGACAUUGAUGUUGGAUACUGGAUUGGAAUUGGAUUUGAAUUGUAUUAAUGCCACUGGCUAUUAAGAUCUUCUAAUGAUGACAAAAAGGGAAGGAAAUGAUAACAAGUUACUACAGGAAAUGUAAUCUGGUAAAUACGUGAGGGGUAACUAUUCUGAGGGAGAGUGUCUACCUUUUUUGAUUCAUUAAGUGAGGGGAAGUUUUUAACUUAAUUAUUUUUCUCCAUCCACUGUUUUGUCAUCAUCAAAAAAGGGGAGAUUGUUAAUCUCGGUUCUUAGCUUUUGAUGAUUACAAAACAAAUGGAUGUUACUAAUAUCUCCUCAGAGACUUUUUUAGAAAUGAAGCAAAUCAGGUUCAAAGAUGAAACUGUUGCUGAAGCUGUCGGACAUACAAAAAACUGGAUCGGAUGUCUGACAAUCAUUGAGCAACUUCGAACGUAUGAGGAACUCCAUCACCGGACGUCCGAAAGAAAUCAAAACACUUCCUUAAACUCACUAAUCUCAAUCGAACGCAGAACAUUAAAGCACUGGAUGUCCGACAGAAUUGAAAAGGAUUUUCAAACUUUACCAUCUACUUUCGGACGCAAACUUUGGAGGUACCGGAAGUCCAAAAGAAUUAAAGAAAAUUCUUCUUGCUCUCUGCCUGCUGUCGGACGUAAGAAACAAGACUACCGGACGUCCGACACUACCAAUGGCUAGUUGACUGUUCAACUACCUUCUAUCCGUUGGAAGCUUUAAUGAAGGAAUUUUUUGGUCUCCUAUAAAUAGAGUAAAGUCAACCACUUUAAAAUACUUUUGCACAUUGAGACUACAAAAGAUCUAGAGCAAUUUUAGUGAGAAAAUUCUCUUCAAAGAAGAUUUAUACUCUUAGUUGUGUAGAUUUCGUAUAAGCUUUUCUUGUGUGAGAAAAUUACUUCAAUAGUAUAGCUUUGUAAGGGUUAUCCGAGUGAUAGUAAAACUUCCUAACUUAACCAAGUAUGACUUGGAACAAGGAGGAAGUAAUCCUUCUUUUGUGCACAUAGAUUGGUUGUAAUUGAUCAACUUGAAGAAGCUUGCUCUAUAAAGUGAUAUUCAAACUCAAGAGAAGUUUGGAAUUUGGUUUGCUAUUCUAUCUCUUUUAUUUACUAUACUGCAAUAUAAAUUAUUCAUCUCUUCUACUCACGAGCAUUUGUACUUUUUCAUUAUUUGUUCCAUUGUGUGGUCAUCUAGAAAAGAGGGUAAAUUUCAUAUUCAAUCAAAAAGUGUCUCAUAAUUUGGUUAGUUUUUAAUUACCUAAAUCACCCCCCUCUUAGGUUGUCUUCGAUCCUUAUACUAUAAUUUCUAUUCCACUGGCUCCAAAGAUCAGUACAACAAUUGAAGUACGAGGCUGAGCAAGAAAGAGCAAAAUGUCUCCGUCUUCUAGCCUAUGAGCUAUAACAAAGUCACUCCAUCUUCGAUGAAAGCCAUCUUUUGUGAUUCCAAUAUUGUAACUUUUGGUUCCACUUGUUAGAACAAUAUCUAGAGUCCGAGGCUCAACUACAUUUAAUCAGUGUGCUCCAGAAUUUUCUACAAGCAAAAAGCAAGGCAUAAGAAUGUAAAGGAAUUAUGUUGCAAAAUAGAAGGAUUUGUUUUAAAAUAUAUAUAUGUAUAUACCGUGCUAUAUCUAAAUCUUCGAGUAUAAACUUAGAGCGCAUUUAGCACCAUUAGAUCAUGCCUAAUGAAUUGAUUGAUGGAUGAUGCAACAAAUCCUAAACUCACAUCUAUAGCUAUACCAUCUGUAGCACAGCAACAGGUGUGUUAGUAAAGUAUAUCAAGCGACAAAAAAAAUGAUUCAUUGUGAAAUGGAAAUUUAUGCUCCUUCUAAGAUCAGUGGUGUGUAUGGGAGCAUUGGCAAGUGCAAUGUUCAUCAUGUCCACAUUAGAUUGUGAGUUGCAGAGAAAGCAAAAAUUUCGUAGAUGAAGUUCCCUCUAUUUCAAGAAAAAAAAAUUAUAUUGCCUGGAGAGAUGUAGUUAUCACUGCAGAAAUUGUUCCAUUGUUUUUCAAAACAAGAAUUCAGAAUUUUUAUUUCCAAUGAGCCAAACCAUGAUAAAUUGUCCAUCUUCAAAACAAUUAGCAACUACCAUUUCAUCAGGGAUCGCUUGAAAUGAGAUAGACAGGUUAGGUAUGUAUUAAGGGAAAAAGUGAGCAUCAAUUUAACAGAUGACUUAUUUUUUGGUGCUUGUGUAGAAUAAAACAUAACACCAUGGUUGUCCACUAUCCAUGAAACCAAUCUCUUCAUUUUCUGUUCAAGAGAACAAAAGAAAUGCAAUUAUAUGUGUAGUUCAUUGAGUAGUCCACAUUCUAUAAUGAUGCAAAAAAUGUAUAAAAAGCCACUUGUUUCUGCGAAUGCCAUUGAGGUGAUAUAUGUAUUAUUCUAUAGCCACUGCUCAAUCAAUGCAAAUGAAAAUAGUGAGGGUUCACCCAUAUAUUUUAGAACCAUUGGACAUGCUUCAAGGAAAGACCUCUUCACAUAAUAAGUUGUCGCUCCAUGAACCUUGUUUACAGCAGUUGCUGCAAGAAUCUUUUCAUGGUCAAAGGUGCAUAGAUAAAAUUUAAUAUUGUUUCCCUUCCCAACUGCCUCCUAUUUCUAAAAGGGUCUCUUGGUUUAACCAUAGGUGGUUAAUAUCAAGAGUAUUUUAGUUCUAUAAUUUCAGCAUAUCUCAAAGCCGAUCACUAAAGCAAGGAGCAAAAACAAGGGAAAGUUUGCUGUGCCACCAAAGGAAGAAGAUGUUGAAUGUAUUUUAAAGUGAGGAUGAGCAUAGCAUGUUUAAAUAAGAACUCAAUAUACAAGGAGAAGCAUUAAGUACAAGAGCAUUAUAAUUGGUUGAAAAAAUAUGAAACCUCCAAAUAGAGCAAAGCAGGAAAUACCUCACUCAAUACUUCCAAACAAAGCCACCAUACAUAUAAUUAUUUAUAAUUCACAAUACUGGGAAACAAGCAAAUAUUUUGAAAAUUUUCCCAACAAGACUUGCAUUACUGUAACCACAAUGAUCUCAAUCAUUAUGUGUUACAUAGUUGACCCAACUAUUCUAUUUUAACAAAGACAGAUUGUUUUAAAUAUUCUUACGAAAAUGAUAGAACACAAGUGGCAUGUUAGCCUUAAAAAUUUAUUGAAAAAAUACAAUAAUUUGACCUUUACUUGAAUGUCCAAUCUCCAAAACUCAAAUACGAUACUGGAAAUCCUAAAAGCUUAAGUCCAAAUUAUAGAUUAAGGCCUUUACUCCAUAUCAGCCAAGUAAUAAUCAUAUAAUACCAUCCAACUAAAUAAAAAAUUAUGCUCACAUAAGCUUUCAAGAGCUGUAUAUAUUGAGAAGUAAAUCUGUCAAGGAUGUUUAGAUAAAAUAGAACUUAAUCUAUCAAGGAUCAUCUCCAGCUAUUGUCUCACAAGUACAUCAUAACCAGAAGGAAAAGCAACUCAUCUACAUUUUUUCUUAGAAACCUCCAUUGUUUCAGAAGUGCAAGUGUAAACAGGCUCAUCCCUAGCCAUUAUCUCACAACCACAUCAGGACCAGAAGGAAAAGUAAAGGAAAUGGCCAAUGGAAAAUUCGAAAAAAAAGCUACAAUUCUCAGAAAGAUUCAACCAUGCUCAAGUAAUACUAACAUAAUACCAUCCAAGUAAAUAAAAAAAAUUUUGGCUCACAGAAGCUUCCAAAAGCUAUACACAUUGACAGACCCACAACAUGAAAGACCCAGACCAGAAUAAUGCCAAGCAAAGACAUAGCCACAACCUAAAAAGGCAAGUCCAAAUAUAAGUAAAUAUGAAAAGUUUCUGCUUACAAAGGCUGCCAAAAUCUAUGCACAUUAACAGAAUUAUAACACAAAAGACCUACGAGAAUAAACCAAUGAAAAACAAAAUCACAACCAGAAAAGAUGACAAGAGGAUAGAAAUGCAAAAUACAAAGAUAAAUGAGCAAAGAAUAGAAAAAUAUCCAACAAACAUCAAACCAAUGGACAGAACAAUAGUGAAAAUGGUAAAAAGAAACAUAACCAAAUAUCCAUGAGCAAACGAAAAAUAGAAAAAAUAUAAUUUACCUGACGGGAGAAAUUACAAUCAGAGCUCGCAAGUAAAGGAUCUGUAGAAAAGAGGAGCUUGUCAAAAUGCAAAAAGAAAAUGAAGGAAAUAGAGGAAAAUACCAAAAUAACUGAUGAGAAAAAGAAGGAGAUGAAGGGGGGAAUUUAGACAGAGCAAUAACAAAAAAUGGUACCCAAGAGCAAAGAAAAACAAAAAAAUUACAAAUUACCUGACAAAAGAAACUAUUAUUAGAGCUCGCAAGUAAAGGAUUUGCAGAAAAGAGGAGCUUGUUACAAUUUUUUUUUUUUUAAAAAGGAAGAGGGAACCAAAGGAAAUAUUGAAAUACCUGAUAAGAGAAAAGAGAUGGAAAUGCAAGACACGGAGGUAAGCGAAGAAAACAGAAGACGAUGGAAAUGUAGAACACAGCAACAAACAUCCAAAAGCAGGACACACCUAAGCUUCACAUAGGCAGAGCAAUAACCACAUAGAAUCUGCGAGACAAAGAUGAAGUGAAAGGCAAAGAAGCUGAAAAGUGCCUGACGAGAGGAGCCACAAACAAAAUUCUCAAGACAAAGAUGAAGCGUGAAAACGGAGAUGAGAAAGCAAAUGAGAAACUCUAGGAAAAAAGGGCACAACCAAUUUGUCUUGGAAUUUAGACCACAUUGGAAGAGACAGCCAUGAUAAAAUGCGCCAAUUACCAUUCUGAAGAAAGCUCUCCUGGUAGCUCCGGACAAUGCAGCGGUGAGAGCCAAGAAAGGAAAGGAACUCGUACGGCCAUCUGUUCCAAAGCAGAAAACCAUGGUCGACCCAAUUACCCGAACCAUUCCAAUGGAGCAUCUAGAAGUGCAAACUUACACAACUCACAUGCUCGGCACAUGACAACGACGAAACCCCUUGGUGCAUUGUAUGUUAUGUUGAUAAGAAAAAAUGCACCUAUAUGAUUCAUCUUCAUAUCUUGCUGUCUUGUUUAAGUUUGCAUUACUGUUCAUGCAUCCGAUGUAUGUUCUUCCAUUUUUUUUCUUCCAUGUGUAUGUCAAACCUAUGGUACUCAUGCACUUAAUUGUUUUUUCAAAAUCUUAAGAGUAACAAGUUUAUUCUACUGAUUUCAUGAACUUGCAAAACACAAAAAAUUUAUAAAUGCAGGGAAAUGAUCAUAAAGUUCAUAAAACACAAUAAAGGAAAAAAGAGCAAGGAAAAAACACAAAAUAAAUGCAAAAAAAAGUGGAAAAAAGUACAAGGGCAAGAAUCAUAAAAAGAAUGGGUAAGAAAGAAAGAUGCAGCACUUGCACUUGCACGAUAAGCCUUUGUUCACUACAAUGAAAAUCUCAAGCAAUGAUCAAUUACAUUAUUGUUAUCCUCUAGGCAUUAUAUCAAGCUAGCUUACAUAAUGUACUUUGCCAAAUCAUUAGUCUCCUAUUGGGAGUCGAGCAUUUAAAAACUAAGAUGAGUUUUGCUCUACUCAUCAAAAAAAGAAGAGGAAAAACAGCUUUUUGCCACAUUUGUGGUUUUAGAGCUUAUUGCACUACGUGCAUCUGGUGAUUUCAUUUGAUGCUAAAACUAUAUCGGUAUUUCCUUUUGAAUUUAAUGUAUCACAUCUUGCAAAAAAGGAGGCACAGUAUUAAGCGCAAUAAGGGGACAGGUGACCAUUUCAGCUGCAUGUCUUCUGAAUUUGCAGCCCAACUCUUCAUUGACUAUGAUCGGAUUGAUGAGAUGCCACUCACUUGUGUGUCCAGUUUGAAUCUACUGCUAUUAAAUGAAAGACAUAAAACGAGCGAGUUGUGCAUGAUAUGCGUAGAAGCAUAACUGGUUCCACGUAAUUUCUAAGUGCAUUUGAAGGUAGGAAGUUACACUACAGAUUUGUUGGCCUAUUAUUCUACAAAAUGGCUCAGUGAUCUAGAAUUAUAUCAUUGCAAAGAAUGAUUUGCUUGUUGAAGGCACUGACAAAAACAUCCAGCUUCUUGUUGAAGAUUAGAACAUCUGUGACAUCUAAGUUCCAGUUUGUUUUCUUUUCCCAUUUUUGGAAUGAGUUUAGUUUCUUAAGUCACCAAAUUUACAACAUUUUCAUGUUCUUGACAGUGGAUGCUAUUUGUCUAAAGUAAUUUUUCAUGUAUACUUAGCAUCGUUCACUAAAAUCGUGAUAUAGAACUUGACUUUUGACUUGAUAUUAUUUUCUGUUCUUCCUAGGCCUGUCUACUGCUUGUUGUUUUGUGUAGUCAUUGUUCAGAGUUUGAAGACUACUGGACCUGUAGGCUUUAAAAGUCUUGUUCACAAUUUUCUUCGAAGAGUUGGCUGCAAGAAGCUUUAGAACCUGCAUUUCAGAGAGCUAGUCAGAGAAUGUAUCCUUCUUGAAAGACUACAGUGGAUAAUUAUACUGAUUCAUUUUUUGCUAAAUAUCUUUUUAUGUUGACCAUACCUUUUUUUGGUUGAACUUAACUUUCGCUAUAGAGGGACAGAGAUUUGGAGAAUUGAAAACUUCCAACCAAUUCCUUUACGAAAAUCUGAUCAUCGUAGGUUCUACUCAGGUGAUUCAUACAUUGUCUUGCAGGUGCAUAUGGCUUCCAAUAUUUCUUCCUUUGUAUCUUAUUUUGGGCCUCAUUUUUACGAAUUGAGUGUUUAUGACUGAAGGAAGAGCUUAAAUCUUUUUUAUCCUGUUUUAAUUUGGAUACAAUGAACUGAUAAAAACUAAUAUCGAUCAUUGCAGUCCAGUUUAAUAUUGAUCAUGAGGAGGCUGUUGAAUAUGAUGAUAGAGAUGGUUGAAAUCUGACAUUGGUACUACGGUCUAUGCUUUAGUUUAGAAAUCUAGUACUCUUUUUUUUUGGAAGGAUAUGUAUUGGUCAUUACUGCUUGAACUUAUUAUGUGAGCUUUGGGAUCCAACAUUUGUGGUUCACUUUUGUUUUGAUGAAUGUAUAGACGUUCAUGGCCAUAUAUAUGAAUUUGUGGUUUUAUUCUACGUUGAUUUUGUCUUUUGUCAAAUUGAAUAUUCUGCUAUAAUUUGUUGAAAAUGCUAUGGCAAUGCUAUAUUCGUAAUGGUCAAUUUCAACUCUUCAAGACAAAGCUCAGUGACAACCUUUGACAUGCAAUUUCACUAAGUGACGAUUAUUUCUGUCACUGAAUAAUAGGACUGAUUGUGACAAGCUCAGGUUGUCACUGUAAACUUCAAAAUUGUGACGACUUUUGCUACAUCUAUGAUAAAAAUAUAGGUGAAACAGUGACAAGAAAAGUCAUUACAAAAUAAUAUCCAUUAGUGACGACUUUGUCCUCGUCAUUGAAUAACAAGAUUCUAUGACGACUUUCAAAGAGUUGUCACAUGGACCCAUUUAUGACAUAGAAUCUGUGACAACCAUUUGACAAUCGAAAAAGCCGUCACUAUAUCCAUAUAAUGACGACUUUUUGGCUUUUAGUGAUGACUUUUUGUUGUCACAAAAGACCCAUUUUCUUGUAGUGUAGUAUGCACAGAAAAGGUGGCUAGAUCUAAUUUUUUUGGGGGGAGGGGUGUUUUGAUUCGCAUUAUUUGAAUUCAAAGGGGUGUUACCCUAGACGUAUCUUCACCUUUAUCUCUUUGAGCGGCUUGGUGAGCAUCAAACAUAAAUCCCCUAAUAGGGGCAUCUAAUUAAUCUUCAGUCCCAUCCGGUUCAAGAUUUUCAAGUACCACAUCUUCUUCCCCCAUAGCUCGUACAUUAUUCUUGUUAGGAUCCAAUCACGAAAUAAUCAACUAUUGAGAUAUCAAGUACAUAAUAAUUUAAUGACAAACAAACCACAAACAUGAAAAAUAAAAGACACAUAAUAUUUAACAUGGUUCGAUUUCAUCAUUGAGCCUAUUCCACGGAGAGAAACUCGUUCUUUAUUAUGAGAGGAAAACCCUAUAGAAGAAUAUAAAUUGAACCCAAAUCUAACCCCUGUAUACCAUCUCUCAUCUCCCAAAAACCUUCUUUCACUCCCAUGUAUAAGGCUAGCCCUUUUGUGUGCCCCUUAUGUGUCUUUGUGUAGUAUGCAAAUCCAUCCAUUUAUAGGAAAUAUUAUUUGACCAAAACUCAAAUAACAACAAGAAACCAAUUCUAAUUUCUAAAUUUACAUAGAAUAGGACAUAACUUCUAAUCCUAAACAAAAUAGGAAAUUCUUUGACUACUAUUUCAAAUAACUAAAAUUAAUUAGAAAACUAGUUACUUUCACACAAAACAAGAACCCUACCUAAAAGAAAUUGAACCAAUUUUCUAACAAAUCUCCAUCUUGGUGAAAAUUUCUUUUAGCAACCAUUUGUCUUCAACUACCAAAUAAUAUGGUAUCGAAUUACACAUUCGAAUCAAUACAGUCUUACUACCAAAUUGAUUCAAUCGGCAAAUGAAUAUAUGUAGUUACCUAGAAUCCAACCUCCAAUUGACUCGUGAGAAGGUGCCUCAAUUCACCGUCUCCCUAUGUAAGAUUUUUUCUAAUCACUACUUGCAACCAGGGAUUCCCUUCUGUGAGCUCUAACGCUAAAUAUUGAGAAAGACUAACUCCCAACAAGGUCCGACUUUACAGGAGAAAGAAGCGUCGAUAAGGGAAGCGCCUUCAAGGAAGAUUUCAGGAAGCAUUUAUUCAAUAAGAUUGAGUGGAGAUUUCUUGAUAAAUGAAGUGGUAAAGUCACCAUACUUUUUCCCAUCCUCAAGACUCCACCUAAAAUAAAAAACUCAAAACUAUCAGAGUCUUCUGGUGAAUGGAAAUUAAAUCUCUUUUUUUCUUUACAGCACAUGCCACACUACCCAAAAAACAUAACCAAAAUCUAAAAUCCAUCGGGAUGAAGUAUCAACCGUUGGAGGUAUGGGAAAGUCUUCAUCGAUUCAUGUCCAAAUCAACAUUGGACUCCAUCUUUUCCUUGACCAUUGAAUCAGCUACCAAUUCAUUUGAUCUCAAUAGUUACCCAGGAUCCAAUCAUGAACAACCAAACUCUUGAUCCAACCAUUCAGUUUGUUGGGAUCCAAGUGCUUGUGAGCAGCCCAAUUUUCACAACCAAACUCUGAUACCACUUGUUAGGAUCCAAUCACGAAAUAAUCAACUAUUGAGAUAUUAAGUACAUAAUAAUUUAAUGACAAACAAAUUACAAGUAUGGAAAAUAGACGACACACAAUAUUUAAUGUGGUUCGACCCCACCAUUGAGUCUACGUCCACGGCGAGAAACUCAUUCUUUAUUAUGAGAGAAAAAUCUUAUACAAAAAUAUAACUUGAACCCAAGCCCAACCUCUAUAUACCAUCUCUUAUCUCCCAAGAACCCUCUCUCACCUCCAUGCAUAAGGCUAGCCCUUUUGUGUGCCCCUUGUGUGUCUUUGUAUAGUAUGUCAAUCCACCUAUUUAUAGGGAACAUUAUUUGGCCAAAACCCAAAUAACAACAGGAAACCAAUUCUAAUUUCUAGACUUGCAUAGAAUAGAAAAUAACUUCUAAUCCUAAACAAAAUAGGAAAUUCUUUGACUACUAUUUCAAAUAACUAAAAUCAAUUAGAAAACUAGUUACUUUUACACAAAUCAAGAGUUCUACCUAAAAGAAAUUAAGCCAAUUUUCUAACAAAUCUCCACCUUGACGAAAAUUUCUUUUAACAACUAUUUGCCUUCAACUACCAAAUAAUAUGAUACCAAAUUACACACCGAAUCAAUACAGUCUUGAUAUCAAAUUGAUUCAAUCGGCAAAUGAACAUGUGUAGUUACCCCGAAUCUAGCCUCCAGUUGACUUGUGAGAAGGUGUCUCAAUUCACCGUUUUCCUUUGUAGGAUUUUUUCUCACCACCACUUGCAACCGGGAUCCCUUUCUGUGAGUUCGAACUCUUAACAUUGAGGCAACCAAGUAGUAAAAUCACCAUACUUCUUCCUAUCCUCAAGACUGUCUCGCCACAUGUGGUUUCCAAGACUUCACAUAAAAUUAGAAACUUGUAACUGUCUGAGUCUUUUGGCACAUGAAAAUUAAAUCUCUUUGUUUCUUUAAGACACGUGCCACACCAUCCAAAAACAUAACCAAAAUCUAAAAUCCACCGGGAUGAAAUAUCAAUCGUUGGAGGUGUGAAAAAGUCUCCACCGAUUUACGUCCAAAAUCAAUAUUGAAUUCCAUCUUUUUCUUGACCCUUGAAUCACUUGCCUAGAUUCACCGUAUAUCUCCAUACUUUUCGACUUUCUAUCCUUCACCAUCAAUGUUUUUUCCCAAGCCAUUGAAACAAGAAUACCAGUCAUUAAAUUGUUCAAUUAGUAACAGCUACCAAUCCACUUGAUCUCAAUAGUUAACCAAGAUCCAAUGUUGAACAACUAAACUCUCGAUCCAACCAUUCAGUUUGUUGGGAUCCAAAUGCUUGUGAGAAGUCCAAUUUUGCAAUCAAGCUCUGAUACCAUUUGUUAGGAUCCAAUCACGAAAUAAUCAACUAUUGAGAUAUCAAAUACAUAACAAUUUAAUGACCAAUAAGCAACAAACAUGGAAAAUAGACGACACAUAAUAUUUAACGUGGUUCGACUCCACCAUUGAACCUACGUCCACGGAGAGAAACUAGUACUUCAAGUAACUAAAACCAAUUAGAAAACUAGUUACUUUCACAUAAAACAAGAACCCUACCUAAAAGAAAUUAAGCCAAUUUCCUAAUAAUUCUCUUGAAUACUGACAAUAUCCCUUUGCUUUCUUUUUGGUGCCAUCCUGCAAACACAAAUUAGGUUAGGGCAAAAUCUACCUACACUAAGCUACCCAAUCCUCAACUGGUAGCAAUAGGUAUUUGAACACGAAAAUCAAAACUAAGUCAAUCCACACUAAGGUUGGCCACCUGAAGUGUAAAUCAACUAAUUCCAAUAUUCUAUCCAACAUACACACUACAUUACAUCAAACUUUCAAUAAAUAUUCAUUCUUAAGGUACUAUAAGUAAGAUUCACACCUAGGCUCUGAUACCAAAUAAAUGUCACGCCCCAUGUCUGGAAUUUAACACCGCCACGCCUAGACAAUGCUAAAGAUGUAAGCCAACAAAUUUCCAAAAUAAAUAUAUUCACCUUUAUAUAAACUUUCUAAAUCCGCAAAUACAAGAUCAUCCAUAACAGCAAUUUGCGUCUUUCAAAAUAAAAGCAAGAUCAAACCUUCUACAAUAUGUACAAUAUUCGAAUCCUAUUAUAAGGUAUCUAAUAUAGAAGUACAAAAGUUAUCCUCUAACAAAAGUCAUCUCCAUCUCCAUUACCACUCCCAAGUUCUAUCAAGGUCCACUUCAAUGAAUGCAUCAUUAACUGCAUAAUUAUAACAAAGGGGCGAGCGAAAUCUCACUCAAUAAGUAGCACAUGUAUCUCAUUAUUGGCCUGAGCAUGUUACAUACAUAAUAUAUAUUUCAAACGCCAUUAACUUACACAUAUAACUUUAUAAGAACAUGGUCAUUAUAAACAUUUCAAUGGCAUAUCAUACAUCACACACAUAAAGGAGCUCAAACCAUAAGACAACAAUUGACCCUGGAUAUCCAGUUAUUAACUUAAUCGGUUAACACGGUUCAUAGUGCUAACUACUAUACGAUUAGCCUAUUUCAUAUUGCUAAUGACAACACAGAUAGCUUGUUUCAUAUACCAACUACUUGUGAGGAACUAGUCUCGUCAAAAGUCGCUUAUACAAGAGCUCAACAAACAUGACAUUUCAUUUUACAAAUGACCAUGGCAAGAGUAAUAACAAAUAUCACAAAUUAUACUUGGUCAUGCCACUUUAGCAAUUAGACAAGUAGCUUUCAAAAUUCAUCUUUCAAAAGAUAAAGGAUACGUGCAUCACUUACCUUGAUCCAAUGGAUACCCACGCUAGUUCAAGUAAUCAAAAAAAUGGCUACCUUAUUCAUCUAGACAUAAUAAUAAAAUAUUCAAUUACAAUCUUAAAGAUACUAAACUACUCCAAAUUAUCAUAAAAAGGAGUCUAAUACUACCCUUAACGACUAAUUCCUAAAAAGGAUCAUUUCCUCAUCAAAGCAGGACAUAAGGGUUAAUUUUAAAGGGUCACUAACUUUAAGAAAUAUAGAAACAUGGCAAGAUAUUUACACAGAGUUAAAGCCCCCUGAAUCUAGUUUCCAACGCAACAAACAGCACCUAAAUCCGAGUUUCCUACAUCAAGUUAUGGCCAAAAAACUGAAAUAUGGCUGUACAGAAAAUUUAAUCCAUCCGAGAAUUAUAGCCAAUCCAUCUAAGGAUUAUAGCCAUGGAUUUCUAGCACGUUUUCAAGGCAAAAACAAGUUCCAAAUUUGAUAAUCAAGUUCCAUUUCUAUCUCAAAUCAUCUUCCAACCUCCAUAGUUGUCAAAAUCAACAUAUUUUAGCUCCCAAAGUCAUGUAAAUACAUAAACAAUCUUGAAAAUGAAUUGUUAGCUCAAGUAAUUCUUUCCCUCAACAUUUCUCCUUUUUAUAUUGAUGAUAGCCCUAUAACCAUAUGAAAAUAGAGACCAAAACAAACUUUAUACAUCAUAGCCAUGGAAGUUAACCAAAAAUUUGAACCAAAUACUACCCAAUCACCCAAUCAAAGAAAACCAAAAUCAUGUUCAAGGUUUCAUGAAAAUAUGUUGGUUAGUUGUCAAAGUAGAAUCUCCUUACUCCUCACUCCUUACUUGUGCUUGAUUUGUCAAGAAUUCUUCUUGAUUGUAAGGAAAAAGGAGAGAAAUAAGAAAGGGUUUUGUUGGAGAAGGAAAGAAGAAAGGAAAUGAAGAAGAUGAAGAAAUUUUUUGACAAGGAUGAAUAGUGAAAUCCCACUAUCACUUUAUUCUUUCAAAAUUUCACUUAUUAACACAUUGGUCACUCAAUUUAACAUCUUUCACUUUUCACCACUAAAUAGUAUUUCUUCGCAUAAAAUUCUCUACAAGACACUUGGGUAUCACAAUAAUUGUUAGGACCAACAAUUCUUAUAGACUGUCUGAGACAACAGUAUUCAUGGAUAUAAAUGAAAGCAAGAACAUUUGAUAUAGCGCUAGGGAUUUUCGUAUCAUCCUUGACAUUUAUAUGCAUCUCUUCUAUUUGGAUAUUUAUCUACAGCGAGUCUUUCUAUCGAUAAUGCCCAACUAAAUAAAAAAGAAAAGACAAUUUGCAUUUUUUCUUUUUUCUCUUUUUUUUUCCCAAUGUGUCAAACAACAAGAAUGGUAACCUCCUGUUGGAUCCUUAAUCCAACGUUGGACUUAUAUGUGAAUAAUUAUGUAUUUCAAACUGUCAAAUAAGGUUAAAUUCAAUUAAAAUGAUCAAAUAUGAUUUGGACUUAAUGUAUCUAAUAAGGUGUGGGUCUUUAAUGUGUAGAGACUUAAAGGUAUUUUCUAUUUCUAUGAUGGAUUGAAAUAUGAAUCUAAAAGAUAACAGGAAUGCUAUCUAUAAAUAGGGAUAUGGUCUCCAGGUCACAAGUAUUCUUAUUGUCAUAUUUUCUAGUACCACAAAACAGUUUUUUCCUAAUGUCCCAUCAUCAGAAAACAUACCAGAGAGAAACUAAAGUGCUCUCUCAAGAAUUGGUAAAUACGUGUUGACUUAGAAGGCUAUCCUAAAAUCUUCAAGGAUUCAAGUGCCAGUUUGUCAAUAUGAAUUUAGAUACGCUUCCGCAUUUAUAUUACAGUUCUGUUCAAAUAUCUGAUAUUGGAAUUCUGGAAAUUCCUACACCUUCUCCCUUUGAAAUUUCAGAGAACAAAACCAAAUAUUUCAUUCCUACUAAGUUAUGGGCACGCAUUACAUCAUUCCUACUAAAUUUAACUAUCUUAACAACUUAGAAAAAGCUAGCUACAUAUACAUUGUCUUCUUACAUAGAUAAAAGAUAUGCAGGGCAUAUAGAAAGAUCGUCCAAAUGGGUUUAAUUUGCUGCUUUUAAGCUUGACAUUUGUAAGACUUAUGACCGGAUAUCAUGGCAAUUUCUAUAGGCUGUUCUAAGAAAAAUGGUUUUUCCAGAAUCCAAGAUUAAUAUUGUUUUGAAGAGUAUCUUUUUGUCCCUUACUCUAUCAUAGUUUUUUUUUUUUAACUUAGGGUUAUCCAAACUUUUUGGCCAACUAAUUCCCUAAAACUGUGUAGAGUCUUAUUCUAAGGAUACAUAGUAAGAUAGUACACAGGAUUCGAUUACGGGACAUGUUAGUAACUAUCAAACUACGGAAUUAGUCGAACUACCCGCGGGGCACUCAAUCGUAGUUAAUGGAGUACUAUCAUCGGUAAUAUAUCCUACCAGAGGCCAGGGGCGGAGGGAAGGGGGGGCCAGGGGGGGCAACCGCCCCCCCUCCAAUUGUUAAAAAAAAAAUUUCUAAGUAAAAAAUUUUUUAUUAUAUUGUUUUGCCCCCCCAAAUAUUGAUAAAAAAUUUCACUUUGCCCCCCCUCCAAUUGUUAUAAAAAAAUUUCUAAGUAAAAAAAAUUUUUCUUAUAUUGUUUUGCCCCCCCAAAAUAUUGAUAAAAAUUUUCACUUUGCCCCUCCUAAGGCCCAAAUAAUAAUGUUUGAAAGUUAUUUGGACUUUGUCCAAAUAACAGAGACUCGCCCCCCCUAAUUGCAAUUCCUAGCUCCGCCACUGCCAGAGCCUUCGCCAGGGAUGCCCCCUCUGAGCAUCAUAUCUCUGCUUUAUACCAAGAGGCGUUGUCAGCUGCAUUAUGUUCUUUGGCAUCUAUAGAAUCUAUGUCCCCAAAUAUGAUUUUGAAAACCUAUACUUUGACUUACAAAAUCUUAAUUUUUUUCAAAUCCAAUAAAGAUGGAAGGGAAAUAUAAAAAAAAAUAAGAAACAAAAAAUACAAAAUCUUUUUUUGACUACAAAUAUCAUUAUAAGUUUUAAUCUAAAACUUUAAUGGUAUUUUCUAUUUCUUUUUAUCUAUUUUUUUAUUUCAAUUUCUUCCUUUUUAUGUUUAGAGGAAAAAAUAAGCAACGAAAGGAUAAAUUUAUCAAUUUAUUAAUUUGAUUUUGCAUUUUACCGCUGACUCUAAGUUUUAAUGAAAAAACUAAGUCACAUUUUAUUUCAAAUCAUGAGGAGGUUAUAUAAAGUUUUCAUACCAUAGGAUGGUUAUGUUGUAAACACCAAACCAUACGGGUAAAAGGUAAUUUUCAUUAAUCUAUGCCCACUAAGUUUCGUUGGAGCUAUUAAUGCAUGAAAAAAAAGCAUGCGCUUUUCAGCAAAAUGGGGACAUAGACAAAACGCAAAUUUGAAAGUUUCAAUCUCAUAAACAUAAUAACCACCGGAUGUUUUCAUUAAUUCAUAGUGAAAACAAGAAGAUCCGCAGUCCUAGUUAAGCAAGCAAAGCUUAUGAGUCAGUUCAUUCAAAAACUUUCGGAAUUACCUGAAGAAUGAUGAGCUUUGGUGAUACUUUUUUCGGCAAACUGCAAGCUUUCUACAAUUAAGGUUGGAAUAAGAUUGGAUACAAACGUCCUCUUUAAAUACGAGACAUCAGUUUGUAAAGAGGAAGUUAUAUGGUUCUCUUUGGGAAGCUGCAAAUUUUGGUGAUUUGAAACCAAUUUGAAAAUUGACAAAAUUCGUGCUUUCCUUGGCAGCUACUGGCUUUGAUUGAAAGAGAUGAUCUUGGCAAUGGCUAUAUUGAGUCAAAAUCAGACCGUAACGAUCUUGGCUAUGGAAUUUGGAAUGUUUUGUUUCCACUUUCCAAAUGGUAGUUGGCUUGUUGCAAGAAAGAAGAAAAAUUGCAGUGGUCUUCAUUGGCAAAAUUUGAUAAUAUCAUGGUCAAAAUAUCUAACUGCUCACGUGGGACAUCUUUUUGUAAGUAUUACUGUAUUAGUUGCUUCUAAUCCACAACAAGUCAAAAGGAAAGUUGUCUUUUAACUACUUGUUCCAAUUUAUAAGUCAGGCUUCCAUUAAGGAAUUGAAGCCACCGCCUUGCACUCCAAGGUGGUUCUGUGCACUAAUCAAAUUGAUUUAGAUGCAUUACAGGGUUAGCAAACAAAGUUGUGGGCUUUCAAAUGAUUCUAAUGGAAUUUACUAAUGAAAAGUCUUGCAACUCAGGACUCGUACUUCAAGCUUUGUGUUUGGCAAUUGUCAACCAAUGCCUUACCAAAUCUUAAAGCGGGCAUUUGCAGAAAAUAAAAAUUUUAUUUAAUUUAUUUAUUCAAGAUUUAAUAAAUUAAGUUGAUUUUAAUUAAACUAAAUUAAAUUAUGAAAGUCCUUUAUUUUUGAACUAACAAAUUGGACCAGUAUUAUGUGGGCUGUAAAAUCAAUUAAAUAUGCAAGGUCCAUUUAAAUUAAAAUGGAUUAAUGGAAUCAUUAAUUCACAAUGGACUGUUGGGCUAGCUUAUUACUAAAAUCAAUAUUAAAUAGAUUUCAAAUUGAACCAGUAUUAAACGAAUUGUUGGGCCAGCUUAUUGUUAAAGUUUUUCACAUAUAUUGUUAUAAUAAAAUAUUUCAAAACAUCCGUAAAAAUAGUUAAUCCAAACAGAGACAUGGUUUUUUUAUAUUACUUUAAUUAAUUUUUUUUUUUUUUCUUCUUUGGCUGCAAAAAUUACGCACCACCAUAGGAAUAAUUCACUUAAUGAACUUCGGAGGUCUCUGACUAAAAAUAACGGAGCAAUCAUUGAUGGCAAUUUGGCAAUGGAAAUGAUGGCAUUUGACCAUGUUAUUAAUGGCACUUUAGAUCUAGCCUCAAAAAAUGCUGAUUCUAAACAUGAGGAUGGUUUCUUAGAAAAACGUUGUCCUCUUUGUUCUCUUGCUACGGUAUUUGAAGACAAUCACUAUACGCAAGCAAAAAUGCCUAAUCCCUCCUUUCACUCAGUCGCUUCAUUUUUCUUCAUUUCUCACUUGUUUGUUUUUUGGAUUUAUAGAAGAAGUGCCUUUUAAAUUUACAGAACAAGAAGAAGAUGAUGAAUGCGAGAGAAAAGAACCCUGUGGUCAUAGCACAUUGUGCUUCCUAAAUUGCCCCUUCAUUAUGUCUAGUGAAUCACACAACGGUGGAAUCUGACAGAAUGACUCAGGAUCAAAAUACAUACUUUAGAUAGUUUAGUAGCCAAAAUCAAAUUGUUAAUAGUUCAGUGACCAAAACUCAAUGAUAGCAAAAGUUUAGUGCUAAUGAGGUAAUUUGCUCGAAAAAUAAUGAUAGAAGCAGCGAAGGGUGAAAUUUGGAUGUUCAUGCUACUGAGAAAGUUUUUGUACGACUGAUUCCCUGGAGAUUGCUAUCACUUGAGGUAGGGGAAACAACAAUGGAGGCUCUCUGUCUUGGAGGUGUCUGAAGCAAAAAGUCCUGGGCAGAAAUGUGAAACAAAAUCUGAAUUGUGGGCUUGUGUUUGCGGCUGAUGACUGUAUUAUUGUCCACCGAAGUCUUCCGCCCAAACAAGGUGACCCUCUUAUUAUCCCUGCCUCAUUAUCUACUUCAUGUUUUGCUUCUACUAACUCCCCUACCACUUAAAACGAGUUUUGGGUCGAGGGUUAGGUUAGGGCGCUAGAACUCGAGAAGGGGAUGAAGAAGAUCGAAGCUUCUGUGGUCUGGAGCUUAGGAUUGAGGAUGCUGGAGUUGGGUUUGCGUUUUGCCCGCCAAUGAUCACCCUGAGUUGCUUAAUUUGGUAGAGAAAAAUCAGAACAUGGGAGUGGCCUGGAGGCAGGUUACCCCGUGCCAGCGACCUAAUUAAUAUUGAUAUGGGUAAAAUACAGUAAACCCCUUAUGGUUAGGAAAAUAAAUAUGAAACUCCCUCAUUGUUUAAAAAUACCCAUUUAACCUCCCUUGUGCUUUGAACUUCUUUGGAUUUUGACUGCUAACAGGUUGGAAGCCAGUAAUAAUAUAAAAUACCAAAAAUACCCUCAUUUAUAAUAUCUCAAAAGGCACAGCUGCAAUUAGUAGAUCUUGAGUGGUACUUCAGGUGCAGAGAGAGAAAGUGGAUGAAACCCUAAACCUAUAGUACUAUCUUCUUCCAUGACAUCAAUAAACUACAGAAUUUUCGUGUGUAUCUCACAGAUGAAGAAGGCAUUUUUGUGCAGAUUGAUCGAGGGUUGCGAAGCAUCGAGCAUAGCGAUUAACAAGGUAAUCUCAUAUCUUAACCCUAACUUUACUUGUGUUGAUUGGUUUCAUGGUAGACGUUUGGUAGUAUAUUGUUGGAGAUAUUUCGAAACUUGGUAAAAGAAGUGAUAGCUUUGGCUUAGUCAAAAGUAUUGUCGACAAUCUUUAUCGAAAAAAUUUAUAAAAAAAUUGCUAAGUAUGCAAAAAGGAGAAAAGAAUGGGUCUUUGCGGAGUAAUCUAGACUAUUGUGGUCAAUACUGGUAUUGAUUAUGUUUUUUAACCUUUUAGAUGAGUGUGUUAAUGUUGACUAUGCUUUUUUGAAACUAAAAGUGUAUGAAAUAUUGCCUGUCGUUUUCGAUACAUCUGAAAAUUAAAUUAGUAAAUUUAUCUCUGUUACUUUGGUUUAGGUGUAUAAGAAUGGAAUAAUCCGUUUAAGAGUAUAGACAUAUACAUGCAUUAUGGUGGAAAUUUCAAAUGAAACUGAGAAUUAGAUACACCGGCGAACAAGUGAGGAUAUUUUGUGGAUGGGACCUGAUGAAUUUUCUCCAUUUGACUUUCAAAAAUGUAUGACACAAUUGAGUGUGGUGUAAGCAAUAUGAAUUUCUAGUACUCUAUCCCCUUUCAUGACCUUGAUGUUGGUGUUGUUAGUAUUAAGGAUGAUGCCACAUCGAGUUAUUGACAAUAUGUUAUGAAAGGCUUCCAGAAAUACACAUAUAUGCUGAGAAAGGGCCUGAACCCAUUGAAGUUGUGUCUUUGGAUGAAUAAUUAUUGUACAAGAAAGUGACUGGUGAUAGCUUACUUGCACUUCCAUUUCGUGAUAAUUGGCAAUUGGUGUGUUCAGAUUGGAUUAUCCGCAUUUGUUAAAGGCAGUGAUAACUUUGACCCUACAGUUAUUGGGAAUGAGUACAAUAAUGAUAUUUCACAUAUUAACUAUAGAAGAAAAGGCAUCUGUGAUGAAGUGUCAUCACAAAUGGAGUUGGAUCCAAUUUUUGUGGGACCACAUAGAGAGCAGAUACAUGAUUAAACUAAUAAAUCCAAGUGGAAGAAAACAAUAAAUGGUAAAAAAACUGAGUGGCAAAGAGUAAAAUUAACUGCAAGGAAGUUAGUCCGCAGUUAGUUAAAGAGAAGGAAAAAGUUGAUACAACUACAGAGGUCUAGCAGUCUCCCAAGAAAUUCAGCAGAAGAAACAACAUUUGGGACAGAUCCAACAGAAGAAACAACUAAUUUGAGGGAGAAAAAUAGCUGAUGAAGGUGGAGAAAAGAUGAUGUCGUACCAGACUAUUUAGAUCUCCCGGACUGGCUAAGAGAAGGACUAGAAGGGCCUAAAGAUUAUGAUAUAUUUGCAGGCUUAAAUGGUCAAGAAUCAACACAGGCAUCUAUUAAUUCAGGAUCUAUAAAUUUUGUUAGAGUUGGUUCAGAGUAGCAACAAGAAAAUUAGCAAGCCAAAGCUAGAAAACAAGUGGUAUAGAUCAACAACAAGAAAAUUAGCAGGCCUAAUCCAGAAAACAAACUAGUUCAGAGCAGCAACAACAACAUCAGCAAUCGAAAUCAAGAAAACAAGCAAAGAACCAGACCCAUGAAGAGAGGAGUCAACAACACCAGGUGUGGAUGAUAGAUGCCGUGUCAAUGAGCAGGAAGAGAACUGGAAUGACCUAGUAAAGGAUGAUGAAAAGCUAUUUGACAAUGGGAUAAGAUCUGAUGAAGAAAGCAUCCCUGUUUAUAGUUACUUCAAUGCGGAGAAAAAGUUUAGGAAAGAGCACUUUGAACUAAAGGUUUGACAGAAAUUUACUAGCUUCUCCAAAUUUAGGGAGACUUUAGAGGAGUGGGAAAUUAGGGAGGGUAUGAGCACAAAUACAUCAGAAAUGAAGGCUCUCGAAUCACAACUAAAUGUGCGAAGGGGUGCAGUUGGAGAAUUCAUGCAUGCAGAAUCCAGAGAACAAAGACUUUUAUGAUCAAAACUCUUAAGCGAGAGCACCAUUGUGGUAGGGAUUAUGCAAUAGACAUGCUACUUCAACAUAUCUAAGUGAAAAAUUUCAGGCCAAGGUGAGGGAUGAUUGUGGGUGCAGUACUCCAGGCAUAGUAAAUGAGACAAGAAGACUGUUUAUGUUAGACAUUAGUGGGAAGAAAACUGCCAGAACAAAGCAGAAAGCAUUAGAGGCACUUAGGGAAAAUGACAUGGAGCAAUAUCACAGGCUUUGAAAUUGUGUAGCCACUGUAAAAAAGUCCAAUCCUGAUACUCAUAUUUCACUGCAGAUUGAUAGGCAAAGUGUUGAGGAAAAAGCUACAUUUCGGAGAUAUACUAUGGAUUAGGUGCUCUGAAGAAUGGUUUUUAGAAGGUUGCAGACCUAUAAUAGGACUAGAUGGCUAUUUCCUAAAGUCCCUUUGGAGGUUAGCUGCUUACAGUCAUGGGUAGGAAUGCCAAUGAAAACAUGUUUCCUAUUUCCUUUGCUAUUAUUGAGGUAGAGAACUAUGACAACUGAUAAGUGACUAAUUUACGUAAUAAUUGGAUGAUAUUUUAUAUUAUUUUUAGUCACUUUGGUUAUAUUAUUGGAAGAAAAUGAAUCAUUUUGGCUAUAAUUGGUGAAAAAUGCUUUUAAGUAAUUAAAUGAAGUUUUUAUCAUUUUUUACUUGGAUUUUGUGCAUUUUGACAGUUUUGACAUAUUUUUGUAUUUUGGCUAUAACUUGAGCUACAAUGAUCGGAUUGAGAGAAUUCUUAAACCAAUUUGAAGAUAAGAGAUAGAUCUACAACUUUGGUGAAGACAUCUGAAUCCAGUUUGAAGGUUUUCCAGGUCAAAAAGCCUAAUUACAGUAGCUAAUUUCCAUUGAUCGAAGCUGAAACAGAGCAAUGAGCAGUCAAGGGUUUUGGUCAUUUUGCAGCCUACACAGAUCCAAAUGAGGUGAUUCUUGAUGCAUUGGAAAUUAACUCAAGGGGCUACAAGUUUAUGUUUUGGUCAAAGGCUAAAUCAGCUUUUAUCAUCAAGAAAAGUUCAGUUGAAGUUGAUGCAAAAGGGAGCAGAGCUGGAAAUUGAACAAAAGUGCACCAAAAUGUCACUGUAGUAAUCCGGCCGGAACUUGGCUGGAUUUGUGGCCGGAUUUGUGGCCGGAUUGUGUCAAAGAAGGCUGCUCUUUACGCGGAAAACUCAAUUUCACCUCUACUAAGUCACAUGUAAUACUAGACAUGUGAGAAACAUUACCAGCUGUAAAAGGGAAGUGUAGGCCUCAUUUUCUUGACUUCCUUUGUCUUGAAAUAGUCAAAUCUUGCAAGCAGAAUGGGAUCAUCAUAUGGGAGAAUAGAGAGACAUACGGGAGAAACUUGGAGUCUGCAAAAAUGUAAUUCUUCCAUUUUCCUUAGUGUAGGAUAGUUUUAGUUUUAGACAGUUUAUCCUUUCUUGUAUGUUAGCUACAUGAAGAGGAAGAUGGAGGAUGAAGAAGGCAAGAAAUGAACUCAUGUGACAAGGGUUACAUUCCUUCCAAACUCUUUAUCUUUUGUACUUGAUUUUAUUGUUUAGUUAAUAUACAAGUCUGGAUUUUAUGUUAUUUAUGUGUCUCUAAAAUUUAUGCCUUGGGUUUGGUUGAACUUCUUAUAAUUGUUAGUGUUUAUUAUUUGACUAUUUGAUUGCUAUGAUUUGAGCAAGUUAUUUAGUACUUUAGCUCUUUAAAAUCAUGAUUAAUCUGGUAUCAUUGAUUGUGAUUAUCUAAGGUGUCGUUUUUGCAAUGAAAAUUGAGAUUUAAUACUAUUUCAAGAAGUGCUAAACAUAGGGAGUACACUCACGAAAGUAGAGGUGCACCUAUGUGGUUUUUAGUGAUUCAUUUCAUGUAAUUCACUGAAGAAAUGAACUUGUAGCUAAUUUCAUAACCAUGAGAAUAGGUAUGGAUUAGUUAUAAGUAUAAUUGAUUCACUACGAAAGUAGGAUUCAAAUGCAUAAGGAAAUUACACCAUAACUAGCAAAGAUGUAGUACUCAAUGAUCCAAAUAUAGCACUUGCAUGAGUAGUUAGGGAUACCACAACCUAAGGAGCAUUUUUUUUUUUUUGUGUAAGCAGGAGGAUUCGAACCUGAGACCUCUUGCUUACACUCCCUCCCCCCAUACCACCCAACCCAACCCUCCCCCCACAACCUAAGGAGCUUUUAUUUGUUAUUUUGUAUAAUUUCAGUAGGUUAAAUUUGUUAUAAUUCAUUGAUAGUCUAAAUAAUAGAGAAGCUUUAGUAAUACCGGUAAUUGUUCACUCUUCCCUGUGGGAUCGACCCAAUAUAUACCCUAAACUACUAGUUGACCUGUAUACUUGCAGUGAACGGGUGUAAUUCGAUUUUUUUAACUUGUACGUAUAUUAAAAUCCCGUCAACAACUAGAGCUAGUUUUUGAGAGAAUUAAUCACCCAAAUUGGAGAAGGAAACAAAGGAAUGGCUUACACUUUCAUUUCGGAUAGGCAAAAGGGUCUUGUCUAUGUAAUUGAGGCAUUGUUCCCUGAAUUAGAGCACAGAUUUUGCCUAAAACACAUGUUCGAGAACUGCAAACAAAGAUUCAAGAAUCAAAACCUUUGAGACAUGUUCUAGGAAGUUGCUGCAGUAGCAAGUAUGCCAGAGUAUGAAACUGCCCUAUCAAAUCUUGAAAGGGUUGACCCAAAGGAAGGUGACAAACUAACAAUUGCAGGAUGGUUCAAACGGUUGCCUCUAAAGCUUUGGUCCAGAGCCCACUUUAGUACUAUUUGUAGAAGUGACACGUGCAUCAACAACAUUAGUGAGUCGUGGAAUAAUUACAUUCUAAAGGCUAGAGGUGAGCCAAUAAUAACAAUGCCGGAGUAGAUUCGGAGGAGAUUAAUGCAAAGGUUGGUAACCAAGCGAGAGGGCAUGCUGAAAUAUAGUAGCACUUUAUGUCCAAACAUUCACGAGAAGUUAGAGAAACUGAAGAAAAAGCAAGAAACUGUGUCGUGGUUUAUGGAGGAAAUAGGAAUUUGGAAGUUGAUGGCUAUGGAAGGACUAAUGUCAAUUUGGAUAUGAAGACAUGUACUUGUAGUCAUUUUCAACUUAGUAGAAUUCGAUGGGUGCAUGUGGCUGCUUGCAUUCAAAGCAGAAGGUUGGAAUUCGAGCAAUUUGUUGAUGCUUGUUACUAUAGGGAAGCAUAUUUAAGGGCCUAUAACUUCACAAUUGGUCUUGUUCUUUCGAAGCAGUUCUAGGUGGAUAGCAAAAUGCAGUAUUUGAACCCGCCAUUGGUGAAAAAUCAACCUAGUAGGCCAAAGAAACAGAAGAAGAAGGGUCCAAAAGAACCUACAAAUCAGCAUAAAGCAAGUAAGAACGGGUCUGGCAGUCUACUGGCCGAGGUGUUUGAAAUUUAGACAUAACAUUAGAACCUGCAAGUCAGCAAUUCACCCUAAGUCCAAGCUUUACAAGAUAAUGUAACAUUUCAGAACCAAAUCAUUUCUCUAUCUUGUUUUGUUGCUGCUUAUACAUCCAGCCAUUUCGAUGUGAACUAUAUGCACCUAAAUGUGGUCUAAUAGUUUCAAAUGCAACAUUCCGGCUUCUGUAGCUCAGGCUAGUGUCGCAAGUACUACUGCUACUACUCUUUCACAGGUACUAGUUCUCAAUUGCCUAUUUUUGGGUAUUGUGACCUGCUUACACACUAAGCAGUGCCACUUAUAAGCAGGAACCAAGUUAGCCUAUAAGUGGUACCAAUCAAGAAAGCUAGAAGAGUAAAUCUUCAAAGAGGAAGCAACCAGCUACAGGAAUGUCAAGAUUGCAACAUUGUGGCUCUAAGAGACCAAAAAAAUGAACUGUAGUUAUCUCUCUUUUGUUUUUUGAAUAUACUGGUUAUGUUAACCACAUUGAUCCCUUCUGGGAUUGAAUCGUAAUAUUUAUUGAAACUAGAAAACUCAGAUUUUGGUUAUGUUUUGGUAGAUUGAUACCAUUAUGGUAUGAAUGUAGUAAUAUGCUUCAUUUUUAUGGCAUUCGUGGCAGUAUUGCUGGUGACCCUUUUUGGGAUUGGAUUAUAAUAUUUACUGAAACUAAAAAACUCAAAAUUUGGUUUUAUUAUGGUAGAUUGAUACCAUUGUGGUAUGGAUGUGGCAAUAUGCUAAUUGUGACAGCCCCACCUUCCCCUAAGGCGAACUAAAGAGGUUAGCGGACUGCCUGCCCAACUCUCGCCAGGACUAACGGUGCAGUAUAAAGCGAUCUAUCACGUUCUGAAACUUAUAAUGCGCGCAACAAGGCAAAAGGGCAAAAUAACCCAAAAUAAAAGAAAUGAAAUCCAAAAUCCGCCAUGAAUAGUAACCGACCCGUCCGAAACCCAACCAAACAUCGAAAUACAUAUACAACAUAACAUUAACCAUUUACAAGCCACAAUGGCCUUUAAAAGUGAUACAAAAGUCACUACAUAUGUGGGUUGCCAAAACAAAAGUGAAAACGGCCCUAAUGAUACAUUUAGGGUCCCAUUUUAUAUACAAUACAAAAGAGGCAUUCAUCUAGUUCAUUCGGCAACCAUUUUACAAAAUUCAUUCCAAAAGAGUCAUAUUCCUGUAAGGAAAACAAAAGAAACGGGGUGAGCUAAAUGCCCAAUGAGAAUACAACCACCACAGCAGCUAAGAUCACAUAAGCAUAACCGUUCAGUUCAAGUAUGCAAAUAAGCAAUAAAUCACAUCAGUGAAAGGAUACGGACGGCUCUCAAGAGCCCAUUUCCACGCUUAUUUCUUGAUCCAACUUCAUUGACCCUCCAUCAAUGUUAAAAGUAACCAUCCGUAGACAUCACUUACAUCCAACCGUCCAACUAUCAUACCCCAACCGGGCCAGCACUCCAUUCAGUCAUUUUGGUAAUACUCGAGUUUACCGGAAUCAAGAGUCUCAUUACUACAAGAUUUCCCAGUACAGUCCCCGUGGCAUGUCAAUUAUCACGACCAAGCCCUCGCCGGCUCGAUCCAAUUGACUACCUAACGGAGUUGAGCUCAGUGAUACAGUAAGGUCGUUGGACAUUCGUCCAAACAACACCAAAUCAGUUUCCAUGAAAUGGAAUGCAAUAACUCAUAUAUCAACUUCAGUAAGACAGUGAAACAGUAGACAAUCAGUGAUACUAUCAAAAGGAGUGAGGGCGGUCAAGUACACCCUCACCUUAAUCAAUUACAAUAUCCAAAUAAGCCUUCAAGGCAACACAACCACAUAUAGCAAAGCCACAUUACAACAUUUAAAUGAGUAGUAUACUCACCAAUCACGUAAGUGAUAUUUCAUGCACCAACGUUAAAAAGGUCGCCGUGAACCCUCGUCACGUCCUAGAACACAUAAACAAAGACCAUGAGACUCGAUAACUAGUCAUAAAGCCAUACCAAUUAUAACCCCAAUAGGGUUUCAUAUGCAUAAAUAAGCAUCAUAGGUAACCAGAAAUUAAGAAAUGGCAUUAGCUUAGGCCUUAACAAAAAAAACAGUUUUCGUCAUACUUUUGCGGUAAUGGCACAAAAUGUGCUAUGCUUAUCGGAUGAGGGUGUAAGACCCACCAUCUCGAAGCUAAAAGACAGGGCUACAACAAUGUAGAAGGCCACUCAGUCCAAAUCCUAGUACAACUAGGUCAAAAAUGCAGAUUACCAAACCAGAACCGCAAUUGCAGGUUCCCAAAUCGUACUAUGCUGUAAUUAGUCUAUUUCAGUCUACACAAGUCCAAAUUCAUUGAUUCCAAAGGCAUAUGAUAGCUAAGACAUCCAGCUACAUUUCAUCAGAAGACACCAACAACAAAAUCCAAACCAAUUCCAGUCAAAAUGGCCAAUUACUUGUACAGUUUUCGCAUUCUGAUCAACCCAGAACAGCAACAGUAAAAUCGACAUAUCUCACUCUACACUAAUCCAAAUGACCUGAAAUUUUGCAGGCACUUCAAACUCAUCAAUACCUACAACUUUCAUGUUUUGAGCAAAGUCUAUUUCGGCCUCUAACCCUAUGAUCCAAAACCGGACAGAAUUAGGGGUUUUGAAACCCUAACAUUUCACAUUUCAAUCCAAAUCCAAAAUUGGUUGCAAAUAUCAACAAUUCACAUCCACUAGAGUCAUAACCCCUCAUUAUCAACCAUCAUAAACAACCACAACACCAUGAUCACAUUAAACCAGAAAAUUCCUCAAAAAAAUAAAAACUUCACUAAAUCACUUCAAAUCAAGAAAUAAAUCACAAAAGGCUUCACUAUCACUACCAUUAGGCACAAUUUAAGCAUCAUUAGGUGUAAGGGAAUAGUCAAUCAUCACUUACCUAAGAAAAAAGAUAAGAGGAGUUGUAGACCACCUUAGCUCUUCCAAAAACUUCACCAAACUCAACCACCACCAAAUGGAAAAGUUGUAUGGAAUGGAAACUAGUUUAUGUGAUUGAUUUAGAUGAUUCAAGCUAGUGGAAAGCUUGAAGUUGGAAGAGGUUUUUCUCCUUCUUUGUUAGAGAGAGAGGGCCGGCUAUGGAGAAGAAAAAAAUGAGGAAAUUUUAGUGAAUUUUGGAGAUAUUUAACUAAAUGGGUCAAAAGGUCAAAAGUGGAAUAGUAACUCUUAAACUUCAACCCAUAAAAUGGUGACACUUGUCACACCAUUAAUGCAAUCUUAUCACUUCUUUUUCUCUCUCACAUCAAUCAUUUCACACACUCUACUUAUCUCUUAACACCCGAUAAAUUUUACACAGUAUCCGGAAUUUAACCUAAUUGGCCGAAUUUUUUCCGAACUUUUCGCACUAGUGGGUCCCACGUCCAAUAUAUAUUCUUAAUUUUCUAAAAAUUCUCCAAUACUAGAAAAAUCAUCUAAAAACUAUAAUUACUCAUAAAAUUCACCAGGAAAAUAUUCCUAAGCCAGAAAAUGCAGAAAACAUGCAAUUAAGGGGAAAAACCCUAGGAAAAAUAUUAGGGAAAUACGGGUUCUCACACUCUCUCCCUCUUAAAAAAAUUUCGUCCUCGAAAUUUCUCACCUUAAUUUCUGAAAAGGUUUGGAUACUUCUUUCGCAUUUCCUCUUCCACUUCCCAGGUAGCUUCCUCUACUCCGUGGUUUCUCCAUAGCACUUUCACUAGUGGAAUCCGCUUGUUUCUGAGCUCUUUGACUUUCCGAUCAAGCACUUGGACCGGUUUUUCUUCAUAGGCAAGCGAUUCGUCUACUUCGAUCUCCUCCGGUUGUAAGACAUGGGAUGGGUCAGGAUGAUACUUCUUUAGCAUCGAGAUGUGAAACACAUCGUGGAUUCGAGAGAGACUGGAUGGCAGUUCCAGUCGAUACGCGACCGAUCCAACCCUCUGAAGGAUCUUGUAGGGUCCGACGUACCGCGGUUGAAGUUUCUUUCCUUUGCCCGCUGUAAGACUUCGUAAGGGUGUGAUAUUGAGAAAUACGUAGUUUCUAACUUCAAACUCCAAGUCUUUUCUUCGAUUAUCAGCGUAGAUCUUUUGUCGGCUUUGAGCUGUUUGGAUUCGUUGCCGUAUCAACUUGACCUUCUCGUGAGCCUCUUCCAUCCAUGGAAUAGUUGCCGGGUCUAACGUCUUCGUUUCACCAAUUUCAUCCCAAUAAAUCGGCGACCGGCACUUGCGUCCGUAUAGGGCUUCGUACGGAGCCAUUUGAAUCGACGAAUGGAAGCUAUUAUUGUACGCAAACUCUACCAAGGUCAUGUGCUGACCCCAGUUGCCUCUAAAGUCUAGAAUGCACGUUCGUAGCAUGUCCUCGAGAGUUUGAAUUGUCCGUUCUGACUGGCCAUCCGUCUGAGGAUGAUAGGUCGUGCUCAAAUUGAGUUUAGUCCCCAGGGUUUCUUGAAACUUCUACCAAAAUCGAGACACAAACCGUGGAUCCCGAUCGGAGACGAUGCUUACAGGAACACCGUGUAGUCUUACUAUCUCAUCCAUGUACAGUCGGGCCAACUUGUCCAUUGAAUACUUCAUGUUUACUGGCAAGAAAUGAGCCGACUUGGUUAAUCGAUCAACGAUCACCCAAACGGCGUCAUGUCCUCUUUGCGUCCUCGGUAAACCUGAAACAAAGUCCAUUGUGAUAUUCUCCCAUUUCCACUCGGGUAUCUCCAAGGGUUGUAACAGACCCGACGGUUUUUGAUGCUCUGCUUUCACCUGUUGGCAAAUGAACAUUUCUGCACGUACUGAGAGAUUUCUUUCUUCAUAUUGUCCCAGCAAUAAGUUCCUUUCAGGUCUUGAUACAUCUUGCUGCUGCCCGGAUGGAUUGUAUACUUGGACCGAUGAGCUUCCUCCAAAAUUUCCAUUUUCAUCGACUCUUCCUUCGGUACCACUAUUCGAUUUCGAUAUUUCAAAAUGCCCUCAAGACUCAAAUUGAUGUCCGUAGUUUCUCCCUUUUCCAUUUUCUCUCUCCACUUCUGUACCAUCAAAUCUUCGUUUUGCGCCUCUUUAAUGCGUUCCAGUAGAGUGGAGGUCACCCUAACAUUGACAAAUACCACCUUAUGGCUCCCAAGACAGGGUCUCCACUCACACACGGAUUCUAAUAAAUCACACUCCUUAAUCAUCAAUCCUGCUACUUGCACCUUACAACUCAAAGCAUCUGCUACCACAUUUGCCUUUCCCCGAUGAUAGUUGAUUGUGCAGUCGUAAUCUUCCAGGAAUUCCAUCCACCUUCGUUGCCUCAUGUUCAAUUCCUUCUGGGAGAAAAGGUACUUAAGACUUUUGUGAUCCGAAUACACUUCGAAGGUCACCCCAUAUAGGUAAUGCCUCCACUUUUUCAGUGCAAAGACCACUGCGGCUAGUUCCAGAUCGUGAGUCGGGUAGUUCUGCUCGUGAAGCUUCAAUUUCCUAGAGGCGAAAGAAAUCACAUUCCGGUUCUGCAUCAACACGCACCCCAAUCCUUCUCGUGACGCGUCUGCAUACACCGCAAACCCGUCCACUCCAUUUGGCAAAACUAGCACUGGAGCCAUGGUCAAUCUUCUCUUUAGUUCCUGAAAACUUGUUUCGCAUCGGGCGUUCCAGACAAAUCCUCCAUGCUUCUUUGUCAGGUCAGUUAAAGGUCCCGCCAGUUUGGAAAAAAUCCUUAAUGAACCUUCGGUAGUACCCAACUAACCCUAGAAAGCUGCGAAUUUCCGUGGGGUUUUCUGGCCUCUUCCAAUUUGUCACGGCCUCUACCUUCGCCGGGUCCACAGAAAUACCUUCGUGGGAGAUCACGUGCCCUAGAAACGCUACUUUCUCCAACCAGAACUCGCAUUUACUAAACUUGGCGUACAGCUGAUGUUCCCUCAAUAUCUGCAACACCACUCUCAAAUGCUCCUCAUGCUCCUCGCGUGUCUUAGAGUAGACCAGAAUGUCGUCAAUGAACACAACGACAAAUCGGUCCAGAUAGGGUUUGAAAACCUGGUGCAUUAGGUCCAUGAAGGCGGCGGGAGCAUUUGUCAGUCCAAAGGGCAUAACGGCGAACUCGUAAUGCCCGUAUCUUGAGUUGAAAGCAGUUUUCGGAAUGUCCUCCUUCCUAAUCAACAACUGAUAGUAUCCCUGCCGGAGGUCCAACUUGGAGAAGACCACUGCUCCUUGCAGCUGGUCAAACAACUCGUCGAUGUGAGGCAGUGGAUACUUAUUCUUGAUGGUUACGUUGUUCAGCCCCGGUAAUCAAUGCACAUCCUCAAGGUUCCGUCCUUCUUCUUCACAAAUAGAACAGGAGCCCCCAAGGAGAUCCACUCUCGUGAAUGAAUUCCCGCUCCAAAAGAUCUUGUAAUUACAACUUAAGUUUUGCAGGCGCCAUUCGGUAAGGGAUUUUUGAGAUAGGUGAGGUUCCAGGUAAUAGAUCUAUUCGGAAUUCUAUCUCCCUUUCCGGAGGUAAGGCUACUAACUCAUCAGGAAAAACAUCCGGAAAUUCCCUCACUAUGGCCACGUCUUCCACUUUUAAUUAUCCGUAGGGGUGUUAAUCAAAAAGGCCAAAAAUCCUUGCGCCCCUCUACUUAUCAGUUUCCUAGCCCGUAUGCCCGAGAUUAAAGCAGAUGAGACUAACCUACCCCUUAUAUCUAACUUUAAGGUUGCCUCGCCAGGAAUGCGAAAUUCUACUACCUUCGUUUUACAAUCCAGUUGGGCGUUAUAUUUGGCUAGCCAGUCCAUACCCAGAAUCACGUCAUACCCCUUAAUGGACAAGCUAAUAAGAUCUCCUAAAAAUCUCUUUUCACUUACCCAUACAUCGCAGUCCCUAUAAACCAUACUAGUCACCAACCGUUGAUUCCCCGUAGGUGUACUAACCUCUAGGUCAUAUGGUAAACUAGCAGGUUUUAUAUCGAUGCCACACAUGAAAUCAGGGUUAACAAACGAAUGAGUGGCACCAGGAUCAAUUAAAACUUUGGCAAAACGGUGGAAAAUAGGGAUCGUACCUUCUACGACCUCCGAAGACUCUGGGACCUGAUGGGGCUCUAUAGAGUACACCUUAGCUGGUACUUUAGGUUUGGACCCAUCUCCCUUGGCUGGUCCAGUAUUGGUCCUCGAUGAUGGUUGGCUCCCCUUUCCGUCUUGUUUCAGGACCGGGCAUGUAGCCAAUUGGUGGUCCGCGCUUCCACAUCGCAGACAUUUGCCCUAUUUCCUCCAGCAAUUAUUUUCGGUGUGGUUUGCUUUUCCACAAUGCCCACAGGGACCACGGGGUGCCAAAGCCGAGCCACUCUGAGCGUUUCCCCUUUGUCCUCGCCCAGUUUGACCACCCCUGAACGGAGUCCCUCUGCCUGAACCAGACUGUCGACACACCACCCGUUCCUCGUCCGAAUUUAGAUGGAGUAGUCUUUUCACCCUGUCCGGAAGUACUCCCAGGAAAGCCACGCUUCUUAGCCUGUAAGUUUCGGACCUGCAGCCGUGUACUUUCAACUCGUUGGGCUUUUUCCAUUGCCUCGCUAAACGUAGUGAUUUGAGCCGCCGCGAGGUUUUCUGGAUCUCAACGUUCAAACCCUGAAUAAAGCGCCUCACCCGUCGUUGCUCAGUCAUGAUUAGCUCAGCGCGAAUUUGGACAGGCGGGUGAACUGACUCUCAUAUUCCGCCACAGUCUGAGCCCUUGCCGGAGCCGGAUAAACUCGUCCUCCUUCCUCUCCUGGACUAGAGGAGGGAAAAACUUUACAUUAAAUUCUCGGAUGAAAUUCACCCAUGUCCUAGGCAUCUGCUCCCGCUCCCAUUUCUGUCUAAUUACGUUCCACCAGGAACGGGCAGCCCCCUCAAAUUGAAAUACGGUAAAAGUCACCUGCCGUUCGUCUGGGUAAUGUAGAGCUGCAAAUAUAUCAACCAUCUUCUCAAGCCAUUUCUCAGCAACGUCAGGGUCGGGUCCCCCAACAAACUUUGACGGGAAAAACUUUUGAAAACGUUCUAGAGCUCUAUCUUCGCUCUCAAUAUGAUGGCCAGGGUUUCCGGGGUUAGGGUUUGGGUUCUGGCCCUGUUGUUGCACUACUUGUGCUAGUAAAUUGGUCAUUUGCUGCAUAGCAGCAGCUAUUUGCACAUUCGGAUCUAUUUGCGGUCCAGGAUUGGGUCCAGUAGAGGUUUCCCUCGUUUCCCUAACCGGUGUGGGUUGUCUAGUUCCGCGCCCACGUCCCCGACCACUCCGUGUACCUUCCAUGAGUUUUAUUCGCGUUUAGGCAAGAAUACUAAACCAAAGUAGUAACAAGACAUAUAAGUAACACUUAAACUUUGCACAAUAACACAUAUUUAUACAGUCCAAGCAUAAUCACAAACACACAUACAUACAAGCCAAACACAUAUAUACAAUCAGUCAAGUCAAGUACGGCCAAAGCACGUACAAACACAAACGAUCCCCCGAGGAUUGGCCUAUCAAAAGAGAUUUACGCGUAGCUAACAACCCAAAACGGUUAGCUAAGGCUCUAUCCCUAUCCCUAUGUACAUACAAAAACCACCAACUAUCCAAAAGAUGCCUAAAGAUCAAGGCCUAGUCAGUCGCUGGGGUCUGGGAUCCAGGCGACAGGGUAGACUCUCCCCCGCCUCAGCCCCCGCAUACGAAGCCUCAUCACUAGACUCCUCAAGACCAUCGUCACACAAAUUAAGGAUCGCCUCAGCGCGACCCCUGACUUUGCGAGCCCGCGUAAUCUCGCGCUCGCGUGCAGUCCUCAGCUGAUCGCAGAGGUCGUCAACUCGGUCCUCGACCUCAAGCACGUCGUACUCUAACUCUUUGAUACGUGCGACUUGCUUCUCAUUGGUUGCCUUAACCUGAGUCACCUCAGCUUCCAGCGUAGCAACCCCGCUUCCAACUUAGUGUUGUCAUCCUCUAGCUCCUUACGCUCCUUUGCCACAGCCAAAACUAAGGCGUUCGGGUAAGCAUAAGUAUCACGGCACCACACCGUCGAAGGCGGUUGGCCGGGCUCCAACGCACCACGGCCCCCUUCUGCCUGAUCUGAUAUGGAAUCACGGGAAGUGCUCUGGGAGGUCUCACUCCCGAAGGACUAGCACUAGGGUCACCACUCGCAUCCAUCCUAUAGCAAAGGAAGAAAUGACAUGAAUACACUUAAUAGGCAUAAACAAUAGAAUCCUCAAGUCAAGCAUUCCUAUAACACCCAGGCUAAUUCAAACCUAGACUCUGAUACCACCUGUGACAGCCCCACCUUCCCCUAAGGCAAACCAAAGAGGUUAGCGGACUGCCUGCCCAACUCUCGCUAGGACUAACGGUGCAGUAUAAAGCGAUCUAUCACGUUCUGAAACUUAUAAUGCGCGCAACAAGGCAAAAGGGCAAAAUAACCCAAAAUAAAAGAAAUGAAAUCCAGAGUCCGCCAUGAAUAGUAACCGACCCGUCCGAAACCCAACCAAACAUCGAAAUACAUAUACAACAUAACAUUAACCAUUUACAAGCCACAAUGGCCUUUAAAAGUGAUACAAAAGUCACUACAUAUGUGGGUUGCCAAAACAAAAGUGAAAACGGCCCUAAUGAUACAUUUAGGGUCCCAUUUUAUAUACAAUACAAAAGAGGCAUUCAUCUAGUUCAUUCGGCAACCAUUUUACAAAAUUCAUUCCAAAAGAGUCAUAUUCCUGUAAGGAAAACAAAAGAAAUGGGGUGAGCUAAAUGCCCAGUGAGAAUACAACCACCACAGCAGCUAAGAUCACAUAAGUAUAACCGUUCAGUUCAAGUAUGCAAAUAAGCAAUAAAUCACAUCAGUGAAAGGAUACGGAUGGCUCUCAAGAGCCCAUUUCCACGCUUAUUUCUUGAUCCAACCUCAUUGACCCUCCGUCAAUGUUAAAAGUAACCAUCCGUAGACAUCACUUACAUCCAACCGUCCAACUAUCAUACCCCAACCGGGCCCGCACUCCAUUCAGUCAUUUUGGUAAUACUCGAGUUUACCGGAAUCAAGAGUCUCAUUACUACAAGAUUCCCCAGUACAGUCCCCGUGGCAUGUCAAUUAUCACGACCAAGCCCUCGCCGGCUCGAUCAAUUGACUACCUAACGGAGUUGAGCUCAGUGAUACAGUAAGGUCGUUGGACAUUCGUCCAAACAACACCAAAUCAGUUUCCAUGAAAUGGAAUGCAAUAACUCAUAUAUCAAGUUCAGUAAGACAGUGAAACAGUAGACAAUAGUGAUACUAUCAAAAGGGGUGAGGGCGGUCAAGUACACCCUCACCUUAAUCAAUUACAAUAUCAAAUAAGCCUUCAAGGCAACACAACCACAUAUAGCAAAGCCACAUUACAACAUUUAAGUGAGUAGUAUACUCACCAAUCACGUAAGUGAUAUUUCAUGCACCAACGUUAAAAAGGUCGCCGUGAACCCUCGUCACGUCCUAGAACACGUAAACAAAGACCAUGAGACUCGAUAACGAGUCAUAAAGCCAUACCAAUUAUAACCCCAAUAGGGUUUCAUAUGCAUAAAUAAGCAUCAUAGGUAACCAGAAAUUAAGAAAUGACAUUAGCUUAGGCCUUAACAAAAAAAACGUUUUCGUCAUACUUUUGCGGUAAUGGCACAAAAUGCGCUACGCUUAUCGGAUGAGGGUGUAAGACCCACUAUCUCAAAGCUAAAAGACAGGGCUACAACAAUGUAGAAGGCCACUCAGUCCAAAUCCUAGCACAACUAGGUCAAAAAUGCAGAUUACCAAACCAGAACCGCAAUUGCAGGUUCCCAAAUCGCACUAUGCUGUAAUUAGUCUAUUUCAGUCUACACAAGUCCAAAUGCAUUGAUUCCAAAGGCAUAUGAUAGCUAAGACAUCCAGCUACAUUUCAUCAGAAGACACCAACAACAAAAUCCAAACCAAUUCCAGUCAAAAUGGCCAAUUACUAGUGCAGUUUUCGCAUUCUGAUCAACCAGAACAGCAACAGUAAAAUCGACAUAUCUCACUCUACACUAAUCCAAAUGACCUGAAAUUUUGUAGGCACUUCAAACUCAUCAAUACCUACAACUUUCAUGUUUCGAGCAAAGUCCAUUUCGGCCUCUAACCCUAUGAUCCAAAACCGGACAGAAUUAGGGGUUUUGAAACCCUAACAUUUCACAUUUCAAUCCAAAUCCAAAAUUGGUUGCAAUAUAACAAUUCAGAUUCACUAGAGUCAUAACCCCUCAUUAUCAACCAUCAUAAACAACCACAACACCAUGAUCACAUUAAACCAGAAAAUUCCUCAAAAAAUAAAAACUUCACUAAUUCACUUCAAAUCAAGAAAUAAAUCACAAAAGGCUUCACUAUCACUACCAUUAGGCACAAUUUAAGCAUCAUUAGGUGUAAGGGAAUAGUCAAUCAUCACUUACCUAAGAAACAAGAUAAGAGGAGUUGUAGACCACCUUAGCUCUUCCAAAAACUUCACCAAACUCACCACCAACACCAAAUGGAAAAGUUGUAUGGAAUGGAAACUAGUUUAUGUGAUUGAUUUAGAUGAUUCAAGCUAGUGGAAAGCUUGAAGUUGGAAGAGGUUUUUCUCCUUCUUUGUUAGAGAGAGAGGGCCGGCAAUGGAAGAAAAAAAUGAGGGAAUUUUAGUGAAUUUUGGAGAUAUUUAACUAAAUGGGUCAAAAGGUCAAAAGUGGAAUAGUAACUUAAACUUCAACCCAUAAAAUGGUGACACUUGUCACACCAUUAAUGCAAUCUUAUCACUUCGUUUUCUCUCUCACAUCAAUCAUUUCACACACUCUACUUAUCUCUUAACACCCGAUAAAUUUUACACAGUAUCCGGAAUUUAACCUAAUUGGCCGAAUUUUUUUCGAACUUUUCGCACUAGUGGGUCCCACGUCCAAUAUAUAUUCUUAAUUUUCUAAAAAUUCUCCAAUACUAGAAAAAUCAUCUAAAAACUAUAAUUACUCAUAAAAUUCACCAGGAAAAUAUUCCUAAGCCAGAAAAUGCAGAAAACAUGCAAUUAAGGGGAAAAACCCUAGGAAAAAAUAU